UAGAACAUUAAUGUUAUUCGGAAGCAGCACCAUUGUUGAGCUAAAGGAUCUGUUGAACAACCUUUCUUGCCUAAGAGUACUACAUCUAGAAGAUAUAAAUCUAGUCGAGCUGCCAGACUCCAUAUGCCACCUCAAACAUUUAAGAUCCUUGUGUCUUCCUGGCACAAGCAUAUCCACAAUUCCUCAAGGCAUAGGAGAUCUAAAAUUUCUACAAGCUAUUGACCUUCGUGGGUGUGCAAAUAUUCAUCAACUUCCUAACAGCAUCCUAAAGCUACGGAAGCUAAGGUCACUCAACUUGAACAACACGGCAAUCACUUCAGUUCCUCGUGGCUUGGGAAAACUCGAAGAUUUGGUCAAAAUAUGGGGGUUUCCAACACAUUAUUCAGAUGAGAGCACAGGUGGCUGGUGCAGCAUAGAAGAACUCAGACCUCUGUCGAAGCUCCAAAGCCUUGAAAUAAGAUGUCUGGAGAAGGCACCUUCCGGUUCUAUGGCUGCUAAAGCAAACCUUAGCAGUAAACAUCACCUGACAUGGCUAGAUUUGGUAUUUACCAGCAGGCUAGGAGACAACGGGGUGGUCGAAGGCAACAUUAGCGAGGAGGAACACAGGAGAACAGAGGAGGUGCUGGAUAAUCUGUGUCCUCCAACUUGCAUGGAAGAACUUGAUAUCAAAGGCUACUUUGCACGUGGGCUACCGCAGUGGAUGAGAACCAUGUCAGCCUUUGGGAGCUUAAGGCGGUUGGUGCUACAUGACCACGCAUGCUGCCCGCAUCUACCUAAUGGAUUGGGGCAGCUCCCCUUUCUUGAUUAUUUUUGGGUCAACCGUGCUCCGUCUGUCCAGUGCGUUGGGCAUGAUUUCCUCUUCCCCUCCUUGGGUGGUCAAGCCGAUGGCAAAGUAACACGGAACAAUAACAGGCAGCCUCAUCAUACUUCGCGUGGUGCUGGUGUUGCUUUUCCCAAGCUGAGAAAAGUGGGUUUUGAAGGCAUGCUGGGAUGGACGGAGUGGGAGUGGGAGCAUCACGUCCCAGCGAUGCCUGCAUUAGAGGAGCUUACAAUCAGAAACGGCAAACUGCAACGCCUUCCUGCAGGGCUUGCACAACAUGCAUGCCGGUUGAGAGAGUUGCGCCUGACACAUGUCCAUCACUUGGUCUCUGUGGAUAACUUCCCUUCACUAGUCAAGCUUUGGUCAUAUGACAACCCAAGGCUGGAGAGGAUCAGCAACAACCCAAGCUUGCAAUGGAUUGACAUUAGCAAUUGCCGAGCACUAAAGGAAUUGGAUCGUUUGCCAUCCUUCCGAAGCCUCGAGUGGUGGGAUUUCAGUGCUGAAGCACUCCCAGAAUACUUGCGAGAGGCAAAGCUAAAGAAAUUGCGUGUAGAUUGCAGCCGAAGAUUGCUCAAACUGAUAGCACUACAAGAUGAAUCCUCCGAAUGGGGAAAGAUCCAGCAUGUCCAACAAGUAAAGGCGUAUGGACACAAGAAAAAAGGAGAAGAUGAGGAUGCCGAGUGGUACAUCUACUAUACGAAGGAGCCGUAUUCAUUCGACGCAUACCUGGGCAAGUCCACGGGUGAGUUCAUCUUCGACCUACUCGGUGGUUUUAUAACUGUAUGUGUGUACACUCAUGUAAAAAUGGAUUUCUAACUGUAUAUUCUCCUGCGCACAGGAUGAAGAUGAAGCAGAAGUAGACGAGGUGAACGAAGAGCAGAGUCCAGGAAUAGAACAUAGUAAGAAUGCAAGGAACAGAGGAAGCUCUCAGGCUGUUACGACAGGAGGAGCAUUCGAAUCCAUCCACCAAAUACUAGGUAUGAAUUGCCCAAAUACUAAUGGUCUUGUAGUUGUACACGCCAAAUUGGCUGUGACUAUUCUAACUGGAAAGCAUUGUCGUGUUAACGCAGGAGAAGAACACAUCGCAAUUGGCAUACUGUCCCUCAAAUUCGUAAGUUGUAUAUGUUUGUGUGCGAAAAAUAUAAUACAUCAGUAAGGCGCGAGCGUCUCUCUAACCAGUUGUUGUGACGCUCAGGAAGGGAGCGCCAGCACGGGCGGCCUUGGACUCGUUGGAGCGAAUACGCGUCGGGGACGAGCGAUGGGCUGAGAGCUGAAGCACUGAACGUGCGCGCGAAGGGCAGCAGGGAAGGGAUUUGCACAUUUAGCUCCCAGGAUUUGCACUUCUUGUUGGCGUAUUUGUAGGCAGGUCUGCACUCCAUCUCUUCUUUUUGGUUGGUCUGUGCUAGCUCGUCAGACUUUCUACAGUGUUUUUGAAUGUUCGAUAACAAAUGAGUGUAGGAAUUUGCAGACGUGCUCUAUGAUGCCGAGAUAACAAUUGCAUCCCCCCCUCAUGGAUCCUCUGGAAAGCUGAAGCUACUCUGCAAGACUGCAACGAUUGCAGCAACACGGACGUGCCUACUAAAAACAUGGUGCAAUAAAACUGCGAAAUGCUAAACAAGGUCAAGCCGGCAGCCAGGUGAGCAACAUUCCAGGCAGCAGGCAUAUUCUGAGCCGUUCAGCGUGGACCGGAGCCAACAACGGGGAUAAGAAGUCCCAACUAGUAGUAGUUGGCAGCCAAUGCGGUGGCCAAAAUUUGACCAAGCCAAGGCUAGUAAACAGCAAAUUUUGUAGCAAACCAAAAUUAAAAUGCGACGUAACCAAAGCGCUGGCGUAACCAUGUCGACAUUAGACCUGAUUUGUUAAUACGUGCUGAGAUGGCGAGGCAUAUCUUGUAACCAGCGACGAAGAGAAGAGUUCAAGCUGCAUUGGAUACAUGUGCUCCUGCCUCCUGGGGGUUAGUUGAGGCGUCUCUCUUUUGCACCUCAUCAAUAGAGACAAAUAAUUUGAGUUGCAUAUUUUUUGACUACUGACUGGACACCCAAGCGUACUCUUCUGGUCCUCCUAUGCGUUGAACUUCUUCGCCUCGCCAUCUCAUCUGCCCAUCCGUGAUUUUCCAUCGCCUUCCUUCUGUAUAAAGCGUCUCCUAAAUCACCGCAGAGUGUACACCCACACAUAUCUGAAACCUAGUCAUCUUCCUUUUGCUCUCUGCUUUGCUAACCUGUUCCCCGACCAUGGCAGAGCUGCUGGACGAGUUCGCGUCCAAGCUUGUGGGCAUCCUGGCAGGCAUGGUGAAGGAGGAGGUGGAGAUGCUCCUCGGCGUGCCGGGUGAGGUCACCAAGCUCGAGACCACGCUCCGUGACCUGAGCGACAUCUUGGGUGAUGCGGAGAGGAAGCGCAUCCGUGACAAGGCUACGGAGGGUUGGGUGAGGGAGCUCAAGGACGUCAUGUACGACGCCGAUGACGUCCUUGACCUCUGCCAGCUCAUGGAGGGCGGAGAAGAUCCUCCCGCACCAACAUCUGCUCCGAAAACCACCUCAAGGUGCUGGGACAUCCCCAAGAUGUUCUUUUGCUUCCGCAACCCUGUUGCGGCACAUGAGAUUGGAACGAAGAUCCAAGCGAUCAGCCAGCGACUGGAAGACCUGGCAAAGAGGAGCUCCCGUUUCGGAUUCAUCACCCAAGCCAUCCAUUCCUCAGCUGAUUCAAUCAACAAAGCUUCCAAUUCUUUGUCCGACGAGACUGGAUCGGUUUUUAUCCGGUCUGAUGUUGUCGGCGAGAAUGUUGAGGAUGACACGAAAAAAAUUGUUGAUCUACUCAUCAAGAAGGUGGAUGCUCCUGUAGGAUCAAGGGCCAAUAAUGAUGUGGUUGUUGCUGUUGCUAUCACAGGGACAGGUGGGAUAGGCAAAACCACUCUUGCUAAGAUGGUCUUCGGUGAUAGUAGGGUGGAGGAAAACUUCGAGGAAAGGAUCUGGUUGAGCGUUAACCGUGAGUUCAAUGAGAUCAAUGUCCUACAAAGUCUUAUAGCUUCUUUUGGCGCCAAACAUGAAGGCUGUGCGGGAAACCAGGACCUACUUCAGCGUGCCCUACGAUCCGGCAAAAGAAGUUUUUGUUGGUGAUGGAUGAUGUGUGGAGCGAAAAUAUGUGGUAUAAGCUGCUUAGAGAGCCGCUCAGUCAUGGUGCUUCUGGCAGUCGAGUCUUGGUGACCACAAGAAAUGAUGGAGUUGCUCGUGGGAUGAAAGCUCAACAUCUCCAUCGAGUUGACAAGCUAACAACGGAAGAUGCUUGGAUUUUGCUAAAGAACCAGGUCAGUAAUAACUUUUAUUUAUUACAGUAAUUAUUUAUGCGGUAAUUUGAAUUUACAGGAACAACUUUUAUCUCUUCUUAAUUGCUUUCUCUCCCUUGGAGUAAUGCACGAUAGCCCAUUGCUCGUUAUUUCUCUUGUCGCUCUCGUCCGAUCUGAUUACGCAAAGGACCAUGUAAUUUCACUACGAGCCUUUUAUCAUACUUUCAUAAGCUCUUGGCUUAGCAAAACAUGUCUCAUGGUUAUAUUUAGUUGAACAUAUUCUAUUGACGUUGAGGGAAGUUUUGUUUAGCGCAAGGAAUCGGGUAUUGUAGUCUAAGAGGCAGAGGGAGUGAAUUAGACAACUUAAAAUCUUAACCUAUGGUUUUCACUACUUUUGCAUCAAACUUAAACUAGAUCAUCCUACCAAGAUGUGCAACUAUGGUUGAUCUAGUGUGAAAUCCUCAUCCUAACAUAAGUUUUGCAACCUAGAAGCAAUCCUAGCAAGAUACUACACUAAGAAAGUAAAGACGAACAAAUUGCAAGUAUGAAAUGUGGAAAUGUAAAGGAGGGGAUGAGGGGAAGCAAACUCUUGACACGAUGAUUUAUCCCGUUGUAUCGGUAGGCACUAAACCACCACUAGUCCACGUUGUUGAAGCACUCACACAAGAGUAUUGCUUUCCGGUGACCAAGUCUCUCCCUCGACACUCCUUGAUUUGCCACAAAGGCUCGGCUACUAAGGCUCACGUCAAAUUCCCAGGUUACCUUGAUGCCAUCUCCACUAAGGAGCUUCUCCACGAAGGAAGAGGGUCUCCACGUUCCCUGCACAUUGUCGUCGACGCCACUCCACACCAAGCCGGAGGGUCGAAGGCUUGCCGGCGAACCACCAAGGCUCCAAGGUUUCAGCACACCUUGUACAGCUAUGGUUCACUCCUAGAACCGAUCACAAGGCAGGCACACCUUGCACUCUCUCUUCUCUAGUCUAUCCUAGCACAAAACAUUCUUCUAAGCUUGCGCUAAGCCUUGAUUAAUCACUUAUGCACUUUCGGUGGCUUGGAUGUGUUCUUGAUAAGUCUUGAUCACCAAUGGACUUCUGCAUACUCCAGCUUCAUCCAGCAACUCCAAAUGGGUGAGUGGAGGGGGUAUAAAUAGUCCAAGAACUCAAAGAGUAGUUGCUCCAACGGCUAGUUAAAGUAUACCAUUGGAUGUUCCAAUGGUAUCAUUUGGGGUAGCAUCGGAACAUCCGGUUCUACCAGCCGUUGCCUCCCCGCGCCCAGAUUCUACUCAAGUUCCUUACCGACGCAACCCAUCGAUUGAUCCGGUGGUCCGUCUAGCACCCAUCGGAUCAUCCGGUGCAGUAGCUUCCUAUGCCAAAACGUCUCUGUUAGUUUCUAAAAUAAAUAUGCUUCGUCCGAUGCCCCCGCGACACAUAGCGUCAGAUCAUCUGGUGCCUCCUUCUUUCUUCUCUUUGCUCCGGUGAUUCAUCUGAUGGGUACAAAACUUAGGCCAUCAGAUCAUCCGAUGGUCCUGCUUUGACUUGGUCUCCACACAGCGUACCAAAAGCUCCGAUGCUUGCACCGACACUUUUCCAGCUGGCCAUCGGAACGUUCGAUGGUCUCAAAAACCUUUUUCACCCUUGUCACCGACUGAUUCGGUGGGCACCUUCUUCUUGUCACCAGAUGAAUUGGUGGCUAUAAUGAUUCCUGUUUUUCUUUGAUUUCUUUGAUUCUUUGCUUAUCUUUGGUUGUGGUUGCUUCUUUAGGACCUAGAAUACCUUCAAGAUAUGCUCUCCAUGCUUUGCUAGUCAUAAUGACCGUGUUGUCAUAUUAAUCACCAAAAUCACAAACAAAUAGCCUAUUCGGGGCCAUAUUUGCUACAUUUAGGCUAUUCCCAAUGGGGAUUUCAUAAGAGUUUCAUUUAAUAAUGUGACACAUCAACAAUUUUGAUGAUAUGGCAUGCUAAUAAUCAUGAAGAGAGAUCCUGAUUAAACUUCGUAUACAUUGUUUCCAAGACUACGAAACCUGAUGAAACUAGCCCUGAUGAAACUAGCAUUGAGGAUUAGAGAGUUUCAUUUCAUCUUAUACCAUCCAAUCACAUACCUCGCAAUUAAAUGUUAUGUCCAGCCUAUGAAAUCGUGAAAUGAAACUCUCCAUUGAGAGAUCUUUUUUCAUGCAUCCACUCAAACAUCUUUCGAUGACAUACCACUACUGAAAACCGUAAUAUGAAAUUCCCCACUGGGAAUAGCCAUGGUUGCUCUAGAGUCUAGACUCUACUGAAGUCACUUCAACUUUUUCCCUACACACAACCCCUGCACAAGUUAUGAUACAACAUAAAAUCCAUUGGGAGCUUUUCGAUUCUAGCACCAUUUCCUCUCUCAAACUUGCUGCAUUUUUUUCCAAUACUAGGUAGUUUUGAAUGAGAGUGAUCAAACCGAUGUCGAUGAAUGUAAGAGUAUCGGGAUGGAAAUUGUUGAAAGAUGUGACUGCUUGCCGUUAGCAGUUAAGAUCCUUGGAGGACUCUUGCGUCGCAAAAGUAGAACAAGAGAUGCCUGGACGGAUGUUAGUAGCCACGGCACUUGGUCGACAACAGGAAUCGCUGAAGAUAUUAAUAAAGCGGUCUAUUCUAACUGGAAAGCAUUGUCGUGUUAAUGCAGGAGAAAGAAACCCAAGAAGGAGAAGAACACAUUGCAAUUGGGUGGUGGCAAUGUGGCAUACUGUCCCUCAAAUUCGUAAGUUGUCUAUGUUUGUGUGCAAAAAAUAUAAUACAGCAGUAAGGCGCGAGCUUCUCUCUAACCAGUUGUUGUGACGCUCAGGAAGGGAGCGCCAGCACGGGCGGCCUUGGACUCGUUGGAGCGAAUACGCGUCGGGGACGAGCGAUGUGCUGAGAGCUGAAGCACUGAACGUGCGCACGCAGGGCAGCAGGGAAGGGAUUUGCACAUUUAGCUCCUAGGAUUUGCACUUUCUUGUUGCCGUAUUUGUAGGCAGGUCUGCACUCCAUCCCUUCUUUUUGGUUGGUCCGUGCUAGCUCGUCAGACUUUCUACAGUGUUUUUGAAUGUUCGAUAACAAAUGAGUGUAGGAAUUUGCAGACGUGCUCUAUGAUGCCGAGAUAACAAUUGCAUCCCCCCCUCAUGGAUCCUCUGGAAAGCUGAAGCUACUCUGCAAGACUGCAACGAUUCAUUUGCACUGCCAAACAAACGAGCAUGACAAAUCGUAGGUCUCCCCUGCUAGCAUGGUAUAGGAGCUGAUGGACCACCUCUGAAGCUACUAUAUACUAUAUUCAUGUCCAUUAUGGUGUGGACAUGGACUGAUGGACCACCUCUGAAGAUAUAUUUCACGUGGAGUUUAUUAAUGAAAGUGUCUUUUUUUUUUACUACGUCGAUCUCCUAGAACGUAUUUAAAUUUAUAAUAAAUGUAAUCUGAUAUAUAUGUUUCAGACUUGUUUGGUCCAUCAGUCCAUGUCCACACCAUAAUUAAGCUAGGCGUGUCACACUUGUUUAGGUGUGAGUUUAGUUUACGCCACAACUAGAACGUGCUAAAACUUUCUAAACCCUAUGCACCGUGUUUCAUAGAACCAAAGUAGGAGUACUCCGUAUAUGACUAGUUACGAAACAGGACCUUCCUACUUUGGUUGCUAUAAUUUAUAAUUAGAAGACUAUCCCUUAAUUCUAAUAACUUGCCAUCCGAAUCAUCUCGAUCAGCGUGAUGAUUAUGAUCACGAGUUUACUCCCUCCAUCCAUAUGUGUUUGAUCGGCGUAUUUGUCACACGAAAAGAUCCAAGAUUUUUCUUGCGGUCGCACGCUGACUGAGAUCAUGCGUUUGGGUGAAAAUCGUUCAAAGACUGAGGACGAUGGGCAAUGAAGCGUUGAAUGAUUUGCGUGGGAGUGUUUCUUCUUCCUUAGUCUCCGUGAAGCUAACAAAUACGCUGCUCGAAUAGGAUGGAGGGAGCAUCUGCUUGCAUUUUCGGCGGAUCAUCAUCGGCGGCUUGUUUCGGCCCUUGGGUCCUGUGCUGAUUCGGUGGACCCCACAUGCAUAGAAUCCAAGCAAAAUCUCCUCCAGAUUUCUAGCUUAUGCAAAUAUCUUCCCCGUUAUUAGCCAUUUUCAGUCAGUUAUUAUAUAUAUACGUAUAGAAAAAGAUCUACGUGGAUUAACUUGUACGGCAACAGGCUAAGAAGGAAUAUCUGUAUUGCAUGGUCAGUCAAUCAUUGGCCUAGCUAAACCGCUGAUCGAAAUGUUAUUUACUUUAUUUAUGCCGAUGAAAUUUUUUUAAUGUUAGGGUCUUUUACUAAGGAAAAAAAAUCUGGUUGAGGAAUAGAUUUUUUUUAAUGCUAGGGUCUUUCUCUUCAUCAGGUCGCUACUUCCCGGACAGGGCUAUCGAUUUGGUCGACGAGGCGUGCGCGGCCGUGAGGCUGCAAAAGAACGGCGAAAGAGGCAACAAGGAAGCGACAGCAGGAUGCCCAUGGACGACGACAAUGUCGUCGCACCGGACCUCAUAGCGCAGGUGUGGCGGAACCAUCCAACUUAAACUGGUUUAAAUGCGCCUAAUUGCUGCCGACGCAGCAACUAUCCGAAACGCAUUUAAAACAGUAUAAGUCCGGUCGUCCGUUGAGUGUCCCUAGGACUCCUCGAAAGAUCUACAUCGUGUCUCAUAUCUAUACAUCAGGAUAGUAUCCGCGAUGGGAUAGCAUCAACAAAUAUUACAUUUUUAUAAACAUAUUAAAGGUACGAUAUAUUACAACCAUAGAUUGAAGAAAACUUAAUAGUGCAAGUUAAUCCUUUGCUAAGAGUUAAAUAUAAACCAGUCCGGGGUAAGUAAUUAAACAUCUAAGUUUAUUCUAGAGUAUCAUGAGACUCAUAAGAUACCCUAGAUCUUCGGGGCUUCCUCUUCGGUGGGUCCCUGCUGGGUUUCUGAAAACAACAACAAGGAUCCCCUGAGUACGAAGUACUCAGCAAGUCUGACCCGUCUAACCAAUAUAAUAGCUUUUCUGGAACUGUAUGAAAGUUGUUUAGUGUACUGGCUGACUCACUUUUUGCCGAAAGAGCUUACUAAAAGUGAAACCUUAACUUUGUCUUUUAUUUCAAUUGAGUUAUUACUUAACCAGUUUAGGUGAUGAAAAAGAAAUACCUUUGCAACAGUAGGAAAUUAAGUCAUACAACAAAUUAAUUUGGAAAGACAUUGCAUUCAUGAGAUUACAUUACGAUGCUCAACAGUGAUCAAGUGCAUUCAUAACCGAGAAUUGCGGCGAUCCGGAUCAAUUUACAUCCUGCAGGAGAGUACCCUGAUCACCAGCCAUAUACGACUGUACAGGUCGUACGUAACGACUUUUCGAUUAGCAAAUCCAAUGAUUGGGAAUAAGACUACCCAGACCCAGGGACGCACCCCCACAUGGGACCCCACGUCUGGCCCGAUCACCAUGUGAGUUUCAGGCUACGCCCCUGCCAAUCUCCAGCACGUCAAGCGCGGGUACGAAGUAUUCCUGAUCAGAGGGUUUACUAACCUACUGGGCUUUACUGGUCCCAGACCCAGUAAGUGAUCAGAUGUCUUUCACUUGAUCAAAGGUUAAGACAACGAAUUGGGCCUUAACCAGAUUAGACUAGCAGACAGAACUACAUCCUUAGCUUUUGUCCGCUUCUUAAAUUCCAAGUCAUCUUUCCAUAAUUAACAUGCAUGACUCAAUAUUUACCUUAAGGUUUGGUAAACCAAGUAUUUAAGCAACUAAGCAAUUUUAGACUUGGGUUAUCUACUAAAGGUUUGAACAAGUGGCAAAGAUGUCCUUAAAACAAGGUAUGAUAAUGCACAAGGAUGGGUUUCAAGCAACUCCUAGACUUAGUGCAUACAUAUAGCAAAUAACCGAUAAUGGACACAUGAAAUAUCGACUCCAAAAUAAUGGGUAUAAUGCACCAGGGCUUGCCUGGGAUCAACAAAGGUUAGUUCUUCGGAAAACCUCUUUAGUAAAAGAGGCACUUCACAUUUCGCGAACGCUGUCCAUCUCCAGCUGAAUUCCACGAAUUCCACUUCAGGAGUUGUGACGUCUAUGAUUCAGUAUAUGCAAGAGUUAGAGAUGCAAACUUUUGAAUACAAGACUAUACAACUUUCCUUCAUGAUAAAGUUGCAAGCCAACAGUGACUACACAAUUUAUCAUGAUAAAGUUGCAAGCCGACACACAAAAACCCGAAAAGAUUAACCCACCAUUUUUAUUUUCUUUACUAAUCCUACCUGAGACCUUUUAUUUUAUUUUUAAAAGCAUUAUAAUAAUUUUCUAAUCUCAAAACUUAUUUCCUAUGACUUAAUAAUGAUUUGUGGAUAAUAAAGCAUUUUUCAAGUUUUAUACAUUUAAUAAUGUUUAAGCAUUUAUUUAAAUACCUUAACUAAAAAGGCAUUAAAUAAAUACCUAAAUUUUUAUUAUUUUUCCUAGGAUUUAAGAUUUUUAAUGCAUAAAGGAAAAUAAAACAAUCCUAAUAAAAUUGGUUUCACUAAUUUUGGGCACUUCUACAAUUUCCUGUGAAUUAAAUGGUGAAAACCGGAUUUAAUCUAUUUAGCUAAUAAAAGAAAAACCUAAAGUUUAUUCAAAACCCCGGUUCAAACUUUUCUUACCCAGCAUUCUACUACCCACCAUCACUUCCACAUAGGGCCCGCAAACUGGUCUCUUUACAAGCAAAAAGGCCCACCCGGCCUCCUACUCUCCUCCCCUUCUUCUUACUGAUAAGCGGGGCCCACGGCUAGUACCUCUCCUCGGGCCGAAAAGUGGCCCGCCAGCUCUUAACCUGCGACGCAUGGGCCUCCUUGCGGCAGGCCCUUUUGGGCCGGCUCUCUCCUCUCUCCUCCUUCUUAACCAUCGGCCGGCCCAUCUUUCUUUUUCCUUUUUCUUUCUCCGACGAUCGGCCUGCUAAUCCGGCCCAUGGCCUAUCUUUCAACCGCCGGCCCACCUUUCCCCCCCUUCUUUCUUCUUCACUCCCACCUGGGCCUCUUGGCCCACUUCUUUUCCAAGCCGAUAAACGGCCCACCUGCUCCCUUUCUCCUUUUACGCCGCGCGGGCCAGCUAGGCCGGUGCCUUCCCCUAGCCCAAGAUGGGCGGCUGGCCCUUUUUCCUUUUUGUUGCCCCCCCUCUUGCGGUUGUCGUGCGGGCCCCCUUGGUUAGGGGCUUCUUCCUCCCCUGGCCAAGAACAGAGGCGCACGCCGACGGGGGAAGAACAGGGCGGCCCGGCCGACGGCGGCUCUCCGGCGGCUGAGCGGGACGGGGUGGCGGCGCCCAGGCCAGGCGCACCCGCGCCCAGCCACAGCUCGCCGAGAGGCGGCCCGAGCCGGCCCCUCCACGGGCGGUCACGACUCGGCCAGCGAUCGGCCCUGGCGGCGCACGAAGGUGGCGCAAGCGCCUUCCACGACUCCUCCUUUAUCUCCAACACGCUCGCAGGACGCCCCUAGACCUGCCAAUUGAGAAGAAAUGGCCGGUUCAGAAGCUCACCUCGUGGAUUUGGUGAUGGCGGCCGGCGGAUUAAAACAGCGGCACACCGGAGCUUGACGGCGGGGAGCUGGGAAACGGAGGGGCGUGGGGCGUUGAGGAGGAGCUGGCGGACCCUUGGGCAGGUGGAAUCGCAAAGAGGAGCGACGGCGUGGGUGAAUCGGCCGGCAGUGGCAUUGCUUGACCGAGCUUUGGCUCGCAUGGCAGAAGAAAAGGCGGAGGGUUAAACGAAUAAGGGCAGGGCGGUAGUAAUGUAAACUUUUACCGUGCAUGCGUGCCACCUCGACAACCUGCACGCCUGCGUGAGCGCGGACGUGGCCGUUGUGCUGGCCGGCGAGCAGAAGUGCCGGCGGCGGCACGUCUCUGCUGCUCUGCUCGUUUCCCUCUUCCUUCUUCUUCUUUAACUCCGAAUUUUAGAUCUCAAAAUUGACCAAUUCGAAUCCAAUCUCUCGAAAAUCCCUUAAGCAAUCUUGUAGAGUAGUCUAAGAACUUCAAUUGAUAGAUUGGCCUCCAACCGAAAUAAGCACCCUAAGAUCGAGAUUUUGAAGCUCAAAGUUCCUGUCAACAUUUCCUGUUAAUUGAACCUCCACGAUUCAGUUUCGACAGUCCUCAAAUGUGGUCAUUUACCCUCCUUUGGACCCAAUUUCAGUGGCCCAAACUUAUGCCAUAUAGUCCAACAACUCACCAUUCGUGCUCUACAACUAAUAAGGAUUCCAUUUUGCACAAGAAACCAUAUAACUUUUACACUAGAUUUUUCUGAAUGUGGCUCCAAACAUUGCUAACCAAUGCUGUUUUCCAGACUUAGAAUUAUUUCAGCAAGGAGCCCGAAAUCUGCUCAUUUGCUGACUUUUGGCUCCAAUUUGAAUUCAAACCUUCCACUUUCUCUGGACAACAACAAUUCAUUUACCUUCUCCAUAGCCUAUAUUUCACUAAUGUCCAAAAACAUCUGCUCACUUACAAGGAAAUUUUUCCAGAAAUUGGCUCCAAAGUCAUGUACUCAACAUCAUUUUCAGACUUAGAAAUUUCUCGCGUCUUCUCGGCUGAAAUCAGCUCAACCUGCCAUCUUUGGACUUCAGUAUAAAUGUGAAUUCUCCACUCUCUCUGGCCCACAACAUCCUACUCGGCUUGUCUAAAGACCAUAUUUCAUUAAUGUUCAGAAACGUUUACUCCCUUACAUGAAAAUUUAUGCAGAAACCCAUUUCGAAGUUGGGUACUCGUUAUGAUUUCCAGAUUCGCACAUUUUCGGACGGAAAAUAGUAACUUUGUCGAUUUCUUCUUCGAUUAUAUUUCCGCGAGGUCUAGGACUUGAAUUAGAUCCCAAGCUUCACCCUUUUGAGUUCUAAAUACUCUCGAGUCUCCAUUUCAUAUCUUAGCCAAAUCUAUCCAAAUUUGAAACUCCAAUUUGCAAAUUUGCUCAAAUUUGACUUUGGCUCAAUUUACCUUCCCCUAAUCCAACUUUUCCAUUAACUUCUUAAUGUUAUUCUUAAGCUAUCAUUAACACGGGGUGUUACAGCAGGUGCUGGCAAUGUUGGGCGAUUCAGCAUUCUCAAUUGCUUCGAUCAUCACACAUGUAUAAAUAGAACGCGAUGUUCCGAAUGUAUGCCGUGCAUAUUGUGAGCAAAUGGACGGGCAUCCCGGUGACGGCCCUGGGCCGGGAUGACCGGAAGAGGCUGCUCGACCUGACGCGGUGCUGCGCUCGCGGUCAGGCCUCGCCAACCCCGACCAGCCGUCCGGCUCCUUCCUCUUCCUCGGCCCACGGGCGUCGUCGGCAAGACCGAGCUCGCCAAGGCCCUCGCCGAGGAGCUUUUCGGCAACGAGAAGGCGUUCCUCCGCAUCGACAUGUCCGAGUACAUCGGCGCAAGCUCCGUCACAAGCCUCAUCGGCUCACCUCCAGGGUAUAUAUGUUCACAAAUAUCUCACGACAUGCUCCAGUACUUGCACGUAAGAGCAACUCUAAAAAGUUCCCUUAUAUUACCCCAAAAUCUGAUUUAGGAGAAAAAUGAAAAAAACAAGGUCCAACACUCCCAUAUUUUCUCCGCAAGGAUACAACAUCGCGAAAAACUCCCCAAUCACCCCACGUGUAUCCACGUCGCCAUUCCUCCCCCAAUCGGCCACAGGUCUUCCUUUCCCGCCUGCAGAGCCAGUCCCGCCAAAUUUUUUCCCCGCGCGCGUGAGGCAAGCGUCGGAGGCGCGAGCAGCUUCCUUGGCGGCGCGAACGGGCCUGCGAUGCAUCGACCAUGUUCAUAUGCUCCGGUCCGGCAGGGCAGAACGGUGCGCGGCACAAGGUGCGGCAGGUCCUGUCUGUCAGCGGCCACCUACACCAAUGGCCUGUCGGGGACCAAAAUUUGCACGGGUCCAUUGGUGGCCGAACUUGGCCAGACCGGCGGCGGCAACUUGGGAAGUGAUCUGCAAGGUCGAGGACCUGCGGCGGCAUCAGCAUUUGGUCUUACCUUUUUCUGAAUCCAGGGAUACUUUGUAUAGUUUCUGAAUCAAUUCCUGAUGAAAAAUUUGCCCAACAUGAUGAUUUGUCAGUUGUCGGAGUCGUUUGCCUUUUGGGAAUCAAACAUACAUCAGCUUCCAAUCGUGGGUCUCCUGCCAUGCUCGAGAUUACUAGGGUAAGUACGUUGGUAUCGUCUAAUAGAUAGUCUCAUGCAUUGACACAUAAUCUUGAGAUGACUUAACAGGCAACCCAUACAAUGGAUUGUCUUAUAAGUUGUCUGGUAUAGCUAUAUAAUUUCUUAAUAUGUGCAUAUGAAAAAAAGGAAAUAUUAUGAGUUGCAUGGUCGGGAAAGGUCGUCUCCAUCUGCAAGUAUUUCUGCAAAUAGGUAAAUUUGCAAGUUAAAUCUAAAAUACAUUUGAUAAUAGACAUAAUGAUAUAUAUUUUACUUUAAUUAACUAACUUGUUCAAUAGAUAUUGAUGGUCAAAGUUGGAGUAAAAAGUCAAUAGUAUCAUCUAUUUAAGAACAGAGGGAGUACGUGCUGAGAUGGCGAGGCAUAUCCUGUAACUAAUUUAUACGUACUCGAGUCUGUCAAGUUGGUACUGUAGGCGCGCUAUUGUAUAGCGGAAGCAACUGAAGUUAUAUAAAUAUUAGUUAUGGAUAAUAAAGAGUGGGAACUAAUCAGGACGCCGAAGCCGCCACAGCGUAGACUUUGGCAGCCUCCUAGCUGGCGAUGCUUCUAGUUGAUCCAUCAUUGAUUAUCAUCAUUUAUGAUAAUCAGUGAUGAUUAAAUCUACCAACUUGGUGGACAAACCAGUGCCCGUGCAACCGCCGCGCCUGUGCCGCCGCAUCGCCGUCGCCCGCGUCCUGUCCGGCCGUCGUGCCGUGAGCGUGUCCUGCAGAUGCCUCGCCGGAGCCACGCAUGCCGUCUGUGUGCCGCCGCUUUGCUGCCGACCCGCUCGCCGCCUCGCAACCCGCAGCCAUGCGCGCUGCGGCUCUGGACUCCCAGACGCACGGCCGUGGCCAGACCACGCGCACGCGCCAGCCCCGCCGGAACCCAUGUGAAGCCAAAGGCUUCACCUUUAGGGAGUGUUUGGGAGAGGGGUGCUAAACUUUAGCACCCCCACUUUAAUCCAUUUUAGUCACUUAUAUUCUCAAACAGGUGAGCUAAAACUGGUGGACUAAAUUUUAACCCCCACUAAUCCCUUAGUCACUUGGGGGUAGCUAAAAUUGACUAAAUGGACUAAAAAGUGAUCCCUUAGGACCACUUUCCCCCUGCCCCCUCCCCUCUCUCUCCUCCUCUCAGUCUCUCUCUCUCUCCCCGCCUCCUUCACCCGAACCGCUCAGGGGCCGGCUCCUCACCUCCGGCGCUGGUCCCGCCGCCUCCGCCUCGCCGCCGCCGCCGCCUCCGCCUCUGGCCCGCCCCGCCGCCUCCACCUCGCCCGCCGCCGCCGCCUCACAGCCGCCGCCUCUGCCUCGCCGCCGCCGUGGCCUCCACGAGCCGGGCGCCCUCGCCGUUGAGGAGGAUGGCCCGGUUCCCAUAGCCGUCCACGCCGAGUCGCCCCGCCCACUCGAGGUACUCGGCGAGCGCCCUGGCGAGGUCCGCCUCGAGUGCGGUGUUGGGAUGUGCCACGAGCAGGAAGAGGACGGUGCUUUGAGAAGGAAGAGGAGGGGUGAAGGAGAGAGAGAAAGCAGGGAUAAAUCUGUCUUUUGUCAACACAUGUGCUAAAAUUUAGCCUCCUUCCUAAACAUCCUGAAGAGCUAAAGUUUAGCACCCCAUUUGAUAGUGCUAAAAUUUAACCCAAGGCUAAAUUUUAGCACCUUCCUCCCAAACAGGCCCUUAGCCUCAUCGUGCCGCUACCGCACGCACCCCAGCCGCGCACCGCCAUCCUUCGCCGUCAACACCGGCCUCCCGCCAUGUCGCCGCCUAAACCCAGGUCUUUUGACCGAGCCUUUCGAGCGGCCACACCGGUGGCCACACGGGCCACAGAGGGCCAAGGCUAGUAAACAGCAAAUUUGGUAGCAAACCAAAAUUAAAAUGCGACGUAACCAAAGCGCUGGCGUAACCAUGUCGACCUUAGACCUGAUUUGUUAAUACAUGCUGAGAUGGUGCUGCCAUAUCUUGUAACUAACAUAUACGUACUCCAGUCUGUCCAGUUGGUACUGCAGGCGCGCUAUUAUAUAGCGGAAGCAACCGAAGUUAUAUAAAUAUUAAUUAUGGAUAAUAAAGAGGGAGAACUAAUCAGGACGCUGAAGCCGCCACAGCGUAGACUUUGCAGCCUCCUAGGUGGCGAUGCUUCUAAUUGAUCCAUCAUGCUCCAAAAUCUUUCUGCAAGUCAGGAGCUGCAGGAUAUAAGUACAGAACUGACUGCCGAUUUCAAAAAAUUAAAAAAAAUAAAGAAAAAAGAACUGACUGCCGAUGGCCAAACAUAUAACGCCGCCAGCUUGAGCAACACCACUCAAGGUAGCUGGUCAGCUGAUGAUCUGGACCGAGUAAAAACUAUCGGAAUGCUAUUAGUAGUUCCAGUGUUCCACUGGUAGCUGGUAGGUGCGGAGCCAGCGACGAAGAGAAGAGUUGAAGCUGCAUUGGAUACAUGUGCUCCUGCCUCCUGGGGGUUAGUUGAGACAAAUAAUUUGAGUUGCAUAUUUUUUGACUACAGACUGGACACCCAAUCGAGGUCCACAAAAAUAUGGAGUAGCGUACUCUUCUGGCACUCCUAUGCGUUGAACUUCGCCUCGCCAUCUCAUCUGCCCAUCCGUGAUUUUCCAUCGACCGGCCAGGCCUUCCUUCUGUAUAAAGCGUCUCCUAAAUCACCGCAGAGUGUACACCCCCACAUAUCUGAAACCCAGUCAUCUUCCUUUUGCUCUCUGCUUUGCUACCCUGUUCCCCGACCAUGGCGGCGCUGCUGGACGAGUUCGCGUCCAAGCUUGUGGGCAUCCUGGCAGGCAUGGUGAAGGAGGAGGUGGAGAUGCUCCUCGGCGUGCCGGGUGAGGUCACCAAGCUCGAGACCACGCUCCGUGACCUGAGCGACAUCUUGGGUGAUGCGGAGAGGAAGCGCAUCCGUGACAAGGCUACGGAGGGUUGGGUGAGGGAGCUCAAGGACGUCAUGUACGACGCCGAUGACGUCCUUGACCUCUGCCAGCUCAUGGAGGGCGGAGAAGAUCCUCCCGCACCAACAUCUGCUCCGAAAACCACCUCAAGGUGCUGGGACAUGCCCAAGAUGUUCUUUUGCUUCCGCAACCCUGUUGCGGCACAUGAGAUUGGAACGAAGAUCCAAGCGAUCAACCAGCGACUGGAAGACCUGGCAAAGAGGAGCUCCCGUUUCGGAUUCAUCACCCAAGCCAUCCAUUCCUCAGCUGAUUCAAUCAACAAAGCUUCCAAUUCUUUGUCCGACGAGACUGGAUCGGUUUUUAUCCGGUCUGAUGUUGUCGGCGAGAAGGUUGAGGAUGACACGAAGAAAAUUGUUGAUCUACUCAUCAAGAAGGUGGAUGCUCCUAUAGGAUCAAGGGCCAAUAGUGAUGUGGUUGUUGCUGUUGCUAUCACAGGCACAGGUGGGAUAGGCAAAACCACUCUUGCUAAGAUGGUCUUCGGUGAUAGUAGGGUGGAGGACAACUUCGAGGAAAGGAUCUGGUUGAGCGUUAACCGUGAGUUCAAUGAGAUCAAUGUCCUACAAAGUCUUAUAGCUUCUUUUGGUGCAAAACAUGAGGGCUGUGCGGGAAACAAGGACCUACUUCAGCGUGCCAUGAAGGAUACGAUCCGGCAAAAGAAGAAGUUUUUGUUGGUGAUGGAUGAUGUGUGGAGCGAAGAUGUGUGGUAUAAGCUGCUUAGAGAGCCGCUCAAUCAUGGUGCUUCUGGCAGUCGAGUCUUGGUGACCACAAGAAAUGAUGGAGUUGCUCGUGGGAUGAAAGCUCAACAUCUCCAUCGAGUUGACAAGCUAACAACGGAAGAUGCUUGGAUUUUGCUAAAGAACCAGGUCAGUAAUAACUUUUAUUUAUUACAGUAAUUAUUUAUGCGGUAAUUUGAAUUUACAGUAACAACUUUUAUCUCUUCUUAAUUACUUUCUCUCCCUUGGAGGAAUGCACGAUAGCCCAUUGCUCGUUAUUUCUCUUGUCGCUCUUGUCCGAUCUGAUUACGCAAAGGACCAUGUAAUUUGACUACAAGCCUUUUAUCAUACUUUCAUAAGCUCUUGGCUUAGCAAAACAUGUCUCAUGGUUAUAUUUAAUUGAACAUAUCUUAUUGACGUUGAGGGAAGUUUUGUUUAGUGCAAGGAAUCGGGUAUCGUAGCCUAAGAAGGGGAGGAGGUGAAUUAGUCAACUUAAAAUCUUAACCUAUGGCUUCCACUACUUUUCCAUCAAACUUAAACUAGAUCAUGCUAUCAAGAUGUGCAACUAUGGUUGAUCUAGUGUGAAAUCCUCAUCCUAAAAUAAGUUUUGCAACCUAGAGGCAAUCCUAGCAAGAUACUACACUAAGAAAGUAAAGGUACACAAGUUGCAAGUAUGAAAUGCGGAAAUGUAAAGGAGGGGAUGAGGGGAAGCAAACUCUUGACACGAUGAUUUAUCCUGCUAUAUCGGUAGGCACUAAACCACCACUAGUCCACGUUGUUGAAGCACUCACACAAGAGUAUUGCUUUCCGAUCACCAAGUCUCUCCUGGGACACUCCUUGAUUUGCCACUAAGGCUCACGCCAAAUUCCCAGGUCACCUUGAUACCAUCUCCACUAAGGAGCUUCUCCAUGAAGGAAGGGGGUCUCCACAUUCCCCGCACAUGGUCAUCGACGCCACUCCACACCAAGCCGGAGGGUUGAAGACUUGCCGGCGAGCCACCAAGGCUCCAAGGUUCCAGCACACCUUGUACAGCUGUGGUUCACUCCUAGAACCAAUCACAUGGCAGGCACACCUUGCACUCUCUUUUCUCUAGGCCUAUCCUAGCACUAAACAUUCUUCUAAGCUUGCACUAAGCCUUUGAUUAAUCACUUAUAUACUUUUAAUGGCUUGGAUGUGUUCUUGAUGAGUCUUGGUCUCCAAUGGACUUUUACACACUCCAGCUUCAUCCAACAACUCCAAAUGGGUGAGUGGAGGGGGUAUAAAUAGCCCAAGAACUCAAAGAGCUGUUGCUCCAAUGGCUAGUUAAAAUAUACCAUCGGAUGUUCCGAUGGUAUCAUUUGGGGUAGCAUCGGAACAUCCGGUUCUAUCCGAUGCUACCAGCCGUUGCCUCCCCGCGCCCAGAUUCUGCUCAAGUUCCUCCGGUGCUCCCUCUACCACCCAUCGGAACAUCCGGUGCAGUAGCUUCCUGUGCCAAAACGUCUCUGUUAGAUUCUAAAUAAAUAUGCUUCGUCCGAUGCCCCCGCGACACAUAGCGUCGGAUCAUCCAGUGCCUCCUUCUUUCUUCUCUUUGCUCCGGCGAUUCAUACGAUGGGUACGAAACUUAGACCAUCGGAUCAUCCGAUGGUCCUGCUUGGACUUGGUCUCCACACAACGUACCAAAAGCUUCGAUGCUUGCACCGACGCUUUUCCAGCUGGCCAUCGGAACAUCCAAUGGUCUCAAAAACCUUCUUCACACUUGUCACCGACUGAUUCGGUGGGCACCUUCUUCUUGUCACCAGAUGAAUCGGUGGCUAUAAUGAUUCCUGUUUUUCUUUGAUUUCUUUGAUUCUUUGCUUAUCUUUGGUCGUGGUUGCUUCCUUACGACCUAUAAUACCUUCAAGAUAUGUUCUCAAUGCUUUGUUAGUCAUAAUGAUCGUGUUGUCACAUUAAUCACCAAAAUCACAAACAAAUGGCCUAUUCGGGGCCAUGUUUGCUACAUUUAGGCUACUCCCAAUGUGGUUUUUAUAAGAGUUUCAUUUAAUGAUGUGACACAUCAACAAUUUUGAUGAUAUGGCAUCCUAAUAAUCAUGAAGAGAGAGAGGGAAGGAGUAUCAUCCUGAUUAAACUUUGUAUACAUUGUUUCCAAGACUAUGAAACCUGAUGAAACUAGCAUUAGGGAUUAGAGAGUUUCAUUUCAUCUCAUAACAUCCAAUCACAUACCUCACAAUUAAACGUUAUGUCCAACCUAUGAAAUCGCGAAAUGAAACUCUCCAUUGGGAGAUCUUGUUUCAUACAUCCACUCAAACAUCUUUCGAUGACAUACCACUCUUGAAAAUUGUAAUAUGAAAUUCCCCACUGGGAGUAGCCAUGGUUGCUCCAGAGUCUAGACUCUAUUGAAGUCACUUCAACUUUUUCCCUACACACAACCCCUGCACAAGUUAUGAUACAACAUAAAAUCCAUUGGGAGCUUUUCGAUUCUAGCACCAUUUCCUCUCUCAAACUUGCUGCAUUUUUUUUCCAAUACUAGGUAGUUUUGAAUGAGAGUGAUGAAGCUGAUGUCGAUGAAUUGAAGAGUAUCGGGAUGGAAAUUGUUGAAAGAUGUGACUGCUUGCCAUUAGCAGUUAAGGUCCUUGGAGGACUCUUGCGCCGCAAAAGUAGAACAAGAGAUGACUGGACGGAUGUUAGUAGCCAUGGCACUUGGUCGACAACUGGAAUCCAUGAAGAUAUUAAUAAAGCGGUCUAUUUGAGUUAUGAAGACUUGCCUUCACACCUGAAGCAAUGUUUUGUGUAUUGUUCGCUAAUCCCUAAAGGUUACUUGAUUUUGAGUGCAGAAAUAGUCAAGGUUUGGAUUGCAGCAGGUCAUGUACACAACAAGAUGAGCUGUAAGGCACCAGAAGAGUUGGGGGAAGAAUACUACAAAGAAUUGGUUUCAAGAAAUCUUCUAGAACCAGACAAACGUUACUAUAGUACAAUAGCAUGCAGCAUGCACGAUGUUGUCCGUUCCUUCGCUCAGUAUAUAAUUAAAGAUGAAGGGAUACUUAUUAGUGAUGGGCAGGAUGUCAAUAGAACUCUUAGCACUGCAAAGCUUCGGCACCUAUCUAUCUCAAACAAGGCAGUAGGGCAUGACACUUUGCAAACACAAGCCUUGCUUAGAACAUUAAUGUUAUUCGGAAGCAGCACCACUGUUGAGUUGAAGGAUAUGUUGAACAACCUUUCUUGCCUAAGAGUACUACGUCUGAUAGAAGUAGAUCUAGUUGAGCUGCCAGACUCCAUAUGCCACCUCAAACAUUUAAGAUCCUUGUGUCUUUCUGGCACAAGCAUAUCCACAAUUCCUCAAGGCAUAGGAGAUCUAAAAUUUCUACAAUCUAUUGACCUUGAUGGGUGUGCAAAUAUUCAUCAACUUCCUAACAGCAUCCUAAAGCUGCGGAAGCUAAGGUCACUCAACUUGAGCGACACGGCAAUCACUUCAAUUCCUCGUGGCUUGGGAAAACUAGAAGAUUUGUUCCACAUAAGCGGGUUUCCAACACAUUAUUCAGAUGAGAGCACAGGUGGCUGGUGCAGCUUAGAAGAACUCAGACCUCUGUCGAAGCUCCAACGCCUUAAAAUAAGUUGUCUGGAGAAGGCACCUUCCGGUUCUAUGGCUGCUAAAGCAAACCUUAGCAGUAAACAUCACCUGAAAUGGUUAUAUUUGGAAUUUACCAGCAGGCUAGGAGACAACGGGGAGGUCGAAGGCAACAUUAGCGAGGAGGAACACAGGAGAACAGAGGAGGUGCUGGAUAAUUUGUGUCCUCCAACUUGCAUGGAAGAACUUGAUAUCACAGGCUACUUUGCACGUGGGCUACCGCAGUGGAUGAGAACCAUGUCAGCCUUUGGGAGCUUAAGGCGGUUGCAGCUAGAUGACUACGCAUGCUGCACGCAUCUACCUAAUGGAUUGGGGCAGCUCCCCUUUCUUGAUUAUUUUUGGGUCGAUCGUGCUCCGUCUGUCCAGUGCGUUGGGCACGAUUUCCUCUUCCCCUCCUUGGGUGGUCAAGCCGAUGGCAAAGUAACACGGAACAAUAAGAGGCAGCCUCAUCAUACUUCGCGUGGUGCUGGUGUUGCUUUUCCCAAGCUGAUAACAUUGGGUUUUGUAGGCAUGCUGGGAUGGAUAGAGUGGGAGUGGGAGCAGCACGUCCUAGCGAUGCCUGCACUAGAGGAGCUUACAAUCAGAAACUGCAAACUGCAACGCCUUCCUGCAGGGCUUGCACAACAUGCAUGCCGGUUGAGACAGUUGAGCCUGACAGAUGUCCAGCACUUGGUCUCUGUGGAUAACUUCCCUUCACUAGUCAAGCUUCGGUCAUAUGACAACCCAAGGCUGGAGAGGAUCAGCAACAACCCAAGCUUGCAAUUGAUUGACAUUAGCUAUUGCCGAGCACUAAAGGAAUUGGAUCGUUUGCCAUCCCUUCGAAGCCUCCUGUGGUGGGAUUUGCGUGCUGAAGCACUCCCAAAAUACUUGCGAGAGGCAACGCUAAAGAAAUUGCGUGUAGAUUGUAGCCGAAGUUUGCUCAAACUGAUAGCACUACAAGAUGAAUCCUCCGAAUGGGGAAAGAUCCAGCAUGUCCAGCAACUAAAGGCGUAUGGACGCAAGAUAGAAGGAGAAGCGGAGGAAGCCGACCAAUCGCACGAAGAUGAGGAUGCCGAGUGGUACAUCUACUGUACCAAGGAGCCGUAUUCAUUCGACGCAUACCUGGGCAAGUCCACGGGUGAGUUCAUCUUCGACCUACUCGGUGGUUUUAUAACUGUAUGUGUGUGUACACUCAUGUAAAAAUGGAUUUCUAACUGUAUAUUCACCUGCGCACAGGAUGAAGAUGAAGCAGAAGUAGACGAGGUGAACGAAGAACAAAGUCCAGGAAUAGAACAUAGUAAGAAUGCAAGGAACAGAGGAAGCUCUCAGGCUGUUACGACAGGACGAGCAUUCGAAUCAAUCCACCAAAUACUAGGUAUGAAUUGCCCAAAUACUGAUGGUCUUGUAGUUGUACACGCCAAAUUGGCUGUGACUAUUCUAACUGGAAAGCAUUGUCGUGUUAACGCAGGAGAAAGAAACCCAAGAAGGAGAAGAACACAUCGCAAUUGGGUGGUGGCAAUGUGGCAUACUGUCCCUCAAAUUCGUAAGUUGUAUAUGUUUUUGUGCGAAAAAUAUAAUACAGCAGUAAGGCGCGAGCGUCUCUCUAACCAGUUGUUGUGACGCUCAGGAAGGGAGCGCCAGCACGGGCGGCCUUGGACUCGUUGGAGCGAAUACGCGUCGGGGACGAGCGAUGUGCUGAGAGCUGAAGCACUGAACGUGCGCACGCAGGGCAGCAGGGAAGGGAUUUGCACAUUUAGCUCCUAGGAUUUGCACUUUCUUGUUGCCGUAUUUGUAGGCAGGUCUGCACUCCAUCCCUUCUUUUUGGUUGGUCCGUGCUAGCUCGUCAGACUUUCUACAGUGUUUUUGAAUGUUCGAUAACAAAUGAGUGUAGGAAUUUGCAGACGUGCUCUAUGAUGCCGAGAUAACAAUUGCAUCCCCCCCUCAUGGAUCCUCUGGAAAGCUGAAGCUACUCUGCAAGACUGCAACGAUUCAUUUGCACUGCCAAACAAACGAGCAUGACAAAUCGUAGGUCUCCCCUGCUAGCAUGGCAUAGGAGCUGAUGGACCACCUCUGAAGCUACUAUAUACUAUAUUCAUGUCCAUUAUGGUGUGGACAUGGACUGAUGGACCACCUCUGAAGAUAUAUUUCACGUGGAGUUUAUUAAUGAAAGUGUCUUUUUUUUUACUACGUCGAUAUCCUAGAACGUAUUUAAAUUUAUAAUAAAUGUAAUCUGAUAUAUAUGUUUCAGACUUGUUUGGUCCAUCAGUCCAUGUCCACACCAUAAUUAAGCUAGGCGUGUCACACUUGUUUAGGUGUGAGUUUAGUUUACGCCACAACUAGAACGUGCUAAAACUUUCUAAACCCUAUGCACCGUGUUUCAUAGAACCAAAGUAGGAGUACUCCGUAUAUGACUAGUUACGAAACAGGACCUUCCUACUUUGGUUGCUAUAAUUUAUAAUUAGAAGACUAUCCCUUAAUUCUAAUAACUUGCCAUCCGAAUCAUCUCGAUCAGCGUGAUGAUUAUGAUCACGAGUUUACUCCCUCCAUCCAUAUGUGUUUGAUCGGCGUAUUUGUCACACGAAAAGAUCCAAGAUUUUUCUUGCGGUCGCACGCUGACUGAGAUCAUGCGUUUGGGUGAAAAUCGUUCAAAGACUGAGGACGAUGGGCAAUGAAGCGUUGAAUGAUUUGCGUGGGAGUGUUUCUUCUUCCUUAGUCUCCGUGAAGCUAACAAAUACGCUGCUCGAAUAGGAUGGAGGGAGCAUCUGCUUGCAUUUUCGGCGGAUCAUCAUCGGCGGCUUGUUUCGGCCCUUGGGUCCUGUGCUGAUUCGGUGGACCCCACAUGCAUAGAAUCCAAGCAAAAUCUCCUCCAGAUUUCUAGCUUAUGCAAAUAUCUUCCCCGUUAUUAGCCAUUUUCAGUCAGUUAUUAUAUAUAUACGUAUAGAAAAAGAUCUACGUGGAUUAACUUGUACGGCAACAGGCUGAGAAGGAAUAUCUGUAUUGCAUGAUCAGUCAAUCAUUGGCCUAGCUAAACCGCUGAUCGAAAUGUUAUUUACUUUAUUUAUGCCGAUGAAAUUUUUUUAAUGUUAGGGUCUUUUACUAAGGAAAAAAAAUCUGGUUGAGGAAUAGAUUUUUUUUAAUGCUAGGGUCUUUCUCUUCAUCAGGUCGCUACUUCCCGGACAGGGCUAUCGAUUUGGUCGACGAGGCGUGCGCGGCCGUGAGGCUGCAAAAGAACGGCGAAAGAGGCAACAAGGAAGCAACAGCAGGAUGCCCAUGGACAACGACAACGUCGUCGCACCGGACCUCAUAGCGCAGGUGCUGGCAAUGUUGGGCGAUUCAGCAUUCUCAAUUGCUUCGAUCAUCACACAUGUAUAAAUAGAACGUGAUGUUCCGAAUGUAUGCUGUGCAUAUCGUGAGCAAAUGGACGGGUAUCCGGUGACGGCCCUGGGGCGGGAUGAUCGGAAGAGGCUGCUCGACCUAACGCGGUGCUGCGCUCGCGGUCGGGCCUCGCCAACCCCGACCAGCCGUCCGGCUCCUUCCUCUUCCUCGGCCCACGAGCGUCGGCAAGACCGAUCUCGCCAAGGCCCUCGCCGAGGAGCUCUUCAGCAACGAGAAGGCGCUCGUCCGCAUCGACAUGUCCGAGCACGUCGGCGCAAGCUCCGUCACGAGCCUCAUCGGCUCGCCUCCAGGGAAUAUAUGUUUACAAAUAUCUCAUGACAUGCUCCAGUACUUGCACGUAAGAGCAACUCUAAAAAGUUCCCUUAUAUUACCCCCAAAAUCUGAUUUAGGAGAAAAAUGAAAAAAACAAGGUCCAACACUCCCAUAUUUUCUCCGCAAAGAUACAACAACGCGAAAAACUCCCCGAUCACCUUGUGUGUAUCCGCCUCGCCAUUCCUCCCCCAAUCAGCCACAGGUCUUCCUUUCCCGCCCGCAGAGCCAGUCCCGCCAAAUUUUUUCCCCACGAACGUGAGGCAAGCGUCGGAGGCGCGAGCGGCGUUGCGGCGGCGGCGUGAGCAGGCUUUCGCGGCGGCGCGAACGGGCCUGCAAUGCAUCGACCACGUUCAUAUGCUCGGUCCGGCAGGGGCAAGAACAGUGCGGCGGCAACAAGGUGCGGCAGGUCCCGUUUGUCGGCGGCCACCUACACCAUUGGCCCGUCGAGGACCGAAAUUUGCACGGGUCCAUUGGUGGCCGAACUUGGCCAGACCGGCGGCGGCAACUUGGGAAGUGAUCUGCAAGGUCGAGGACCAACUUGGGAAGUGAUCUACAUGGUCGAGGACCGGCGGUGGCAUCAGUAUUUGGUCUUACCUUUUUCUGAAUCCAGGGAUACUUUGCAUAGUUUCUGAAUCAAUUCCUGAUGAAAAAUUUGCCCAACAUGAUGAUUUGUCAGUUGUUGGAGUCGUUUGCCUUUUGGGAAUCAAACAUACAUCAGCUUCCAAUCGUGGGUCUCCAGCCAUGCUCGAGAUUAUUAGGGUAAGUACGUUGGUAUCGUCUAAUAGGUGGUCUCAGGUAUUGACACGUAAUCUUAAGAUGACUUAACAGACACAACCCGUACAAUGGAUUGUCUUAUAAGUUAUCUGGUAGAACUAUAUAAUUUCUUAAUUUGUGCAUAUGAAAAAAGGAAAUAUUAUGAGUUGCAUGGCAACAAUAACUCGUACAAUGGUCCUCUUUCUCUCUCCUUACUCUCUCUCUCUUUCACAUCAUCAAAAAUCCUACGUGGCACUGUAUGAGACGACCUAUGAGACCGUUGACGUGUAACAAUAUACUUGCUGAUUGGACAAUUAUCUUUCUAUUGAUACAUAUUAACCCCUUAAUGGUUUGCAUCGUUUCUAAAUCCAUGCAUUCCUGUAGAAAAAUGAGCGCAACAUGGUGUGCAACUGAUUUGUCAAUUGUUGUGCUGUGAUUUUCCUGAUGGGAUUAUUGGAAUUGUUGAACCCAACGGCAGGUUUGACGGGCGGAGGCGGCAGCAAACUACUGUGCGGCACAAUGAGGGGCGAUGGGAGGAAGGACUGGCGGCAGCGUUGGAGGGUGGUAGGAGAAAAACGUUAGGAGAGAGGGAGUUCAGGUGAGGAGGAGAGAGGUUGGCCCAACUGAUGGGCCCAUUAAUACUGAUGUGGUCUAUUUCGAAAUAUUGGUAAGCUAGAGUUUCCAAAAAGUUUUUCCCCAAAACUAUGUAUUGAGGGGCUCUUUCAAAAAAAAAUUCCUCUAAAAACAUAUCAAUCCAUAUCAGAUCGCUAAUAACUAUCCAAAUAUUUCAAAAUAGGCCAACCUUCUUUGACUUUUGCUCACAUUCACCGAAUCCGGACCGACUAACCGUAAUAUACAGUUAAAUUUCAAAAAAUGUUUCAAGCCAAAAGAAAAGCCGGAUCUUUUCGUGUUCAUCUCACUCACAGGUUCUUGAUUUCCUCCCAACGUUUACUGCAGGUACUACUACAGACGCACCUACAAGGACAACAUGAACUGCCCGGCAACGAACCAGGUACAACAGAAGGACCACAGCGACCCGCCAUUGUACGCAGUCACCUACUACAACGAGCACUCGUGCAACAGCACCUUCCUCACGCUCUCCCCCUCUGAGUUCCAGCUCCAGACCUCCUCGGGAAAGGUCGUCUCCAUCUGCUUCAACUCGUCAUCCGGGCCGGCGGCGCAACAACCGCUGUCCGCGGCGGCGGCAACAGCCACCAAUGCCAGCGGCGGCUCGCCCUCCUCCAGCGCUGCGACGCGACGAGGCACGCCCUCGAGAUCAGCAACCCACCCAUGCUACGGCGCGACGAGGCACGCCCCCAAGAUCAGCAACCCACCCAUGCUACGGCGCUCGGAGACGUACCCAUGGGUCGUGGGUGCCGUGGAGCAGAAGCCGGCGUCCUGCAGCACCAAGUCCCACGUCGCGUUCCCGGCUAGUGCCAGCGCGGUGCCGGAGGAGGUGGUAGAUGCAGGCAGAUUUGGGUCCAUCAGGUACGCAUGCCAGGUGAUUGGGAAAUGAUCGGACCUCCGCAUAUUUGCGGGGCGACGGAGGUGUUUUUAGCGUCCGCGCAUUUUCAUAGAAUGGAUUAAGGAGUUGUUGGAGGUAAGUUUUGUUUGUUUUUCCCUAAAUAAGAUUUUGGGGUAAGUGAGCUUUUGGAGUUGCUCUGAGAUGGUAUGAUUUUGGGGGGAAAAUAUUUUAUAAAAAACCCUAAUAUUUGUUUUUGGGGAGAAAUUUUAGAGAUUACUCUAAUCCCUUAUAAUUAAUGAUUCCGUAACUGCGUGCAGGGCGCCUGGGUACGAGAAUGGAGGGCAGCUCACGGAGCAGGAGAUGCGGCGGCCGUACAGCGUGGUGCUGUUCGACGAGAUGGAGAGAAGGGGGACGACGCCUUGUUCAACCUGUUCCUGCAGAUCCUCGACGACGGCAGGCUCACCGACGCCAAGGGCCGCGCCGUCGACUUCACCAACACCAUCAUCAUCAUGACCUCCAACCUCGGGGCGCACCACCUCGACGGCUACCCGGACAACGACGCCGCUCGCGAGCGCAUCCUCGCCGACGUGAGGAGGCACUUCCGGCCGGAGCUCGUGAACCGGCUUGACGAGAUGGUGGUGUUCCAGCCCCUGUCGUCGUCGUCCGCCGGCGACCAGCUGCUGCGGAAGGUGGCUAGGCUGCAGCUCAAGGGCGUCGCCUUGCGCCUCGCCGGCAAGGGCAUCGACCUCGACGUCACCGACGCCGCCCUCGACGUAAUGCUGUCGGAGACACGCGGCGAGGUGAAGAUGUACGGCGCUAGGCCGAUCAGACGGUUCGUGCAGAAGGUCGUCGUGACAAGGAUUUCCAAUAUGGUGGUGCGGGAGGAGGUGCACGAGGACUGCUGCAUCUCCAUCGACGCAGACGAGGAGGUGAAGGAACUGGUGUUCACCGUCACCAAGAAGCCGGCGGACCAAAAGAAGUAGCUGAUGUGCGUAGUCGUCGAGAACCCUGUCGACGAGGUGAAGAAUCCGGUGAUCACGGCCGAGAAGACUGCAGACGAGAAAAGGGAGGAGCCGGUGUUCACUACCGAGAAGCCUGGAGAUGAGAAAAAGCAGGAUCCGGUGUUCACCGUCGAGAAGCCUGCAGACGAGAACAUGGGGCCAGUGUUGAUCGUCGAGAAGCCUGCAGAUGAGAACAGGGAGGAACCGGUAGUCAUCAUCGAUCAGAAGCCUGAAAGUGAGAACAGGAAGGUCACCUUUGAAAAGUCUGUAGACAAUGGCAAGAAGCAUCCGGUAGUCACCAUCGAGAAUUCUGCAAACGAGGACAUGGAGCCGGUGUUCUCCGUCGAGAAGCCGGCGGACGAGGAGGAGGAGCCGGUGUUCACUGCCGAGAAGCCUGCAGAAGAGGAGGAGCCGGUGUUCACCACCGAGAACCUCGCAGACCAGGAGAAGAUGGAAGCUGGGGUUUACCGUCCUGAAGCCGAACUCGGACGAAAACAAAAGCAUCGUAUGCCUUCUCUGAUGUAAACAACACAGAAUGACAGGCACAAAGAUUGACAAGAAUGGUAGAUGGUGCUUAGUUUCCCUUCUUUCUUCUUGUUUUUUUUUUUUUGAGGGCGUAGAUCGUAGUUUCCAAAGGAUACCGCUAUUAUAUACAAAUGUGUCUUUCAGCACGCACAUACAUACGUUCACAUUUUACCAAAACUUUGUCUAUUCAAAUUUCAAAAUACCCAUUAGCUUGUACUUCCUCCGUCCCAAAUUGUAAUUGUAAGUCAUUCCAAGAAUCUUGGAGAGUCAAAGCAUCUCAAGUUUGACUAAAAUUAUAGAGAAAAAUAUAAAGAUUUAUGACAUCAAAUAGAUAUACUAUGAAAAUAUAAUUGAUAAAGAAUCUAAUGAUACUUAGUUAACAUCAUAAAUGUUAUUAUAUUAUCAUAUAAAUUUGGUCAAACUUGAGAUAUUUUGUCUCUCCAAGAUUUUUGAAAUGACUUACAAUUUGGAAAACGGAGGGAGUAUCUAACAUCUCAAGGACCCAACAUUUUGGUUUAAGGCUCUGCACUGCUAUUAUAUAGCAUUGAUAUUACCAGGAUGAUCAGUGCUAGGAUCCUCCUGAAUUAUCAGACAACGAUGACUGAAAAAUGCAUGAAUGAUCGUUGGAGGCCGAGAGCUAGAAGAUCAAUUCUCCAGCACAGCGAGCCCAUCUGAAAUUCGGCCCGAUCUAUAAUGCAUCCUUUCACACCACAACAAACGGACUGCCUAUUACCCAGUUUCAGCCCACAAAUUGUAUGUCCCACAAACAAGGCCGUCUAGAAUACACGGAUACUUCCAGCAGCAGCCUUGGACAGUAUUGUAAUGAACCCGUCGAUUCAGAGCUUUUUAAGUUAAUCGUGAUUGUGAUGCGCGAGGCAGGAUAGAAUAAGGCUCUGCUGUAUGAAAGCAAGACUGUAGACAGGUCAUCCCCUCGGGCCUGAAUUUUCAUUAGUCCCCAGUUGAUCCGAUCCGAUGGCCAUCCCGUGCACGUUAUACAAUGGGCUCUCGGGCUCUAUUCUAUUGCGCUGCUGAUACAUGAGAUCUUCUGCUAUGGCCUUGUCCGUAGGCUACACAACGGCAUCACUCGAUCGAUUGAUUUGCUAACAAUUUAUAUGCGAGCUGGCUUGCUUGCAUCCUCCCUUUGAUUUGCUUUCGGGGAAAAAGCAUCAGUUACUAGCAGAACAAUAUAGAAUAAAAAACAUCAGCAUCCUGAACCAGCGAUAUGCCUGUAGUUCGCUUUUAUUUCCCAGGAGGGGCAAGGCCUGAUGGCCACUUGUUUUUAGAUGAUGCAUCUGCAGAUUUGCUCUGCUAAAGAGAUCGAUCUGGGGCUGGGUCAAAUAAUCAUGGAGUUUUGCUGAAAUUUGUGAGUUUUGCUGCUGAGAUUGCUUUUGGGAGAUUGAUAUGGCUUUUGAUUCACUUUGGGGAGAGUGAAUUUCUGUCUUGAUUGUGUCGAGCCUAGCUUUUUCGCUAGCCCAUGUCUUUGGGGAUUAAGAUCGUUUCUUUUUCUUUCUUUUUAUUUUUUCUUUUUCAGUACGAAUAAAUUUGUGCGGUGUGGUGUUGUCAAUGCACUCAUCAAGGGGGAGAUUGAGAUGCCGGUGGGCUAGCACCUUGGUGAUGAGCGAUUGACAACACGGUGUGCGUGUGACGUGUCUCUUGGCAGGUUGUGGUUGCAGGUGACAGGUGGAGACAAGGUACAUGCGGCGACGAGUGAAGAACGAAGAUAGGAUGCCGCGUCGAAAAACCGCGGGGGCGGAGAAGGGCGGAUCGAGGCUUGCGUUCGAGGGACAGGCGAUCGUGCGGUGUACGUCUACUGUACCUGGCUACACGGCGGGAGGACGUCGAUGGAGGUUUCCGGAUUAUGCCACAAAAUCCGGGGUUCGCUGGUUGAGCCACAAAGCCAUGCAUCGUACCGGGACGCUCGUGCGGCGUGCGAAGAUGGAAAUUCUGGCGAUCGCGAUACGAUUUCGGAUGGUUGUGCGGCGACAUCGCGAGGAUCACAUCGCGGAGAUGGAGGGAUCGCGGACAUCGCGGAAUUUGCCAUGGAGGACGUAAUUGGAAUUUACGCCCCUACGUUGGAUUUAUUUAGCGUAGGGGGUUAUGUGAAAAUAGGUCGUGCCACCCUUUGGAGAUAUAAAUAUGUGGCACCUAGGGUUGAGGGAAAAGUGGACGUUUUGGACUCCCGGCGAGUUACUAUUCACGCGUGAACAGUACCCGUGAACAGUACUCGUGCCCUGGGGUUCCACGGUUCAAUUUUCCUCUCUCCGGUCUAGCCUAGGGUUUGAAUUCUAGUGAGAGGUUUUUGUUGAUCUCUCCGAUUAAGAGAGGGAGGAUGUUCGGGCGGAGGCUAGAUGCACUUUUGUAAGUUCAAUUACUCGAUUUAAUCUUUCAUCUAUAAUGAUUGAUCUUGUGCAUCUCGAUUGGUUCUUUACAAUUCUCGUCAGCAUCUGACAUAGUCUGCUUGUUUUAUUUUUAUCUCAAGAUCCGUAAGUCCGAUUGACGUGAUUCCAGUUGGGUUAGUUUCGUAAUUUCAUCUAGUUUAAUCUGACAAAUUUUUAGGUCGAUCGGAGUUACGGAUUUUCGUCCACAUCAGGUUUACUAGGUACAUAGAGUUCUGUCCAGAUUUGAAAAACGUGAUUUAUUCAGGUUUUGUGUUUAGGGGAAGGGUUAGAAAUAUUUGUUAGAAAGUUUUGGCUUCUGCGACCAUUCACCCCCCCUCUGGUCGCCCGUUACGAUCCUUCAAUUGGUACCAGAGCCGGUUUAGGUUUUCUAUAGCUUAAUCGGUGCUGAAAGCUAUGGCGACCAAUGAAAAGUUUGAUGUUCGCGCUCCGUUUUUUGAUGGGACUGAUUAUGAUUACUGGAAGGCACGUAUGACCAACUAUCUCAAAGGCAAGUCGCUGAAGCUAUGGAAAAUCACACAAAAUGCCACAUAUGUGAUUCCAGCUGAGGAACCGACUGACGCCGCUGAGAUCGGGCUUCUUGAAACAAAUCAUCGUGCUGUUGCUAUUUUACAGGCUUCUAUUUGUAAAACUGAAUAUGAUCGGGUUUCUAGUGAAGAUCUCGCUUAUCAGAUCUGGGAGAAACUUAGAAAAUAUCAUGAAGGCUCAAACACUGUGAAAAACCGAAAAUUUGAGAUUCACCGAAAAGAGUUUGAUGCUUUUUGCCAAUUGCCUAGUGAGUCUAUUGAUGACAUGUUUGCACGUUUUCAAGUGAUUGUUAAUAAGAUGAAGGCCAUGAAUAGAAAUAUACCUUAUGAUGAUCAUGCUAGGGCUCUCAGAUUAUUACAUUCACUUAAUGAUGAAUGGGAUAUGAAAGUUGAGGCGAUCGUUGAAUCUGUAGGUUAUGAAACUCUCACCACUGAUGAGCUUUACAGUAAGCUCAAAUCAAAAGAGAUUGAAAUUGUUUCUAAGCGUAAAUUGAAAAAUCCCACAGCUGCUUCUUCUUCUGACGUUCCAAUGGCUUUGGUUUCUGGAAAUAAGACUAACACUAAUGCUAAUCCAAAUGUUUCCAGUUUUGCUUUGUCUUCUUUGUGUCAUGUUGCAGAUGAGGAGUUGGAGGUGCUAGAUGAUGAUCAGCUUGUACUGCUCUCCAACAAGUUUAAGCGUGUGUAUGACAACAGGCGUAAUAGAAGACGUUCAGAUGGUUGCUUCAACUGUGGUGAGCGAGGACACUUUGCUGCUGAUUGCCCAAACAAGCAGAGAUCUUUUGAGCAGGGCAAUAACUCCUCCAGGCGCCAGGAGAAGUUCAGGGAGAGGAAGAAGAAGAAGGAUAAGCAAUGGAAGAAAGGCGGACAAAAAUACUCUGACAAGCAAGUCGCUAAGGCUGCAAAUGUUUUGUUAUCUUCUCUUGGACAGUAUGUUUCAGGUGGCUCGUCAGACUCCAGCGAUUCAGAUUCCGAGGAUGAGACACCCAAGAAGAAGACAGACGGACUUUGCUUCAUCACUGACGCCGGCAUCAAUGAUGGGAUAUGUACUAUGGCCUUGGAGGGUGAUGCAUCAACCGACAGCAACGAUGAAACUUCUGAUGAUGAGGUAGAUACUUCUGCAGAACAAAGAAUAGCUAAUUUAACUAAAAUUGUUCAUAAGCAAAAUAAAGUGUUGGCUAAACUUAAAACUGAUUAUGAUAAAACUUGUGCUGAACUAGCUACUCUCAAAAAUGCUGCAUCUAAUCCUGCUGAACCUGAUGAAUGUGAAGAAUGCUCAAUUCAUAUGAUUUCGUUGUCUAAAUUGCAAACCAAGUAUUCUUCCAUUGUUGAUGAUCGAGAUAAACUUUACGCUGAACUAAAUGAACUUCGUUCUCGGUCGAAUUUGCUUGGUACUUGUGUUUCUUGCCCGCUUUUGAAAGUUGACUUGGAUAAUGCUUUAUGUCGGGUAAAAAAUUUUGAAGAACACACUUGUCCUGAUUUGCCGGAUUGUUUGAUUUGUCCAACUUUACGAUCUGAAUUAAAUGUUGCUAAAUCACAUAUUGUUGAGUUGGAAAAACACACUUGUCCGGUUCUUCCUUCAUGCCUAACUUGUCCUAAUUUUGUUGUUGAAAAUAAUGAUUUAAGGGCCAAACUUGCUGAUUUGGAAGAAGAAAAUAAGCAUUUGAGAACUAUUCUUGGUUGGUGUUCUAUUCGUGAGCCUCAAAUUGGUAUGGCUAUUGCUCAAAUUAAACGGGGUGAGCGUUUUGGUCCCGGUUAUGACUUGAAACAUGUUUUUGGUGAAAAAAGUGGACCGCCUGUUGAUGAGAAGAAUCCACCUUUGGCUAAAUAUACUGGACCACCUCCUAGGAAGGGUUCAGGUGUCACCUCUGAUGGGUUGCUGGUUGAGACAUCUAGAUCUGCUCCUAAAAAGCAGGUUUGGGCGCCUAAGCCAAAACACUUCAAGGGUAUACAAAAUACUAAGCCAAAUGGUUCUUCUUGUGAUCAUUUUGCUAAGCCUGUUUUUGUUGCUUCUAGUUCUAAUGCUGAGGCUUCUGUCGCUCCUGCACGCAAGCUUUAUCAUUGUGAUUUUUGCAGUCAUGAUGGUCAUCUUUAUGAGUUCUGUUAUCGGAGGAUGCGUGCUGAACGACGUGAGCACCCCACACGUGGUACUCAUGAUCUUCGUGUUUUUAGAUGUGAGCAGUACCCUGUACGUGGUACUCAUGAUUGUCCUAUUUUGAGACGUGAGCCAUUUGUUCGCUCUUCUGGUUUUCGCUCACGUACUCGUGCUCUUGCACAACAUCGGGAUGACAGACCACGUUUUCCCCCUCGUGGUUCUCAUCGUUUUCAUUACAUUAUCCUAACCCCAGUGUUGAGUCAUUAGCUCACCCUCGCUCUCGUUGUUGAUUGCAGGUUGGAGGCGAGGAGGACAUAUGGAUAAUGGACUCCGGUUGUUCGCGCCACAUGACCGGAGAUGAUAAAUGGUUCUCCAGCCUCACCCCCACGAGCGUAAAGGAAAACAUCACUUUUGGGGAUAAAAGUCAAGGUAAGGUAAUGGCGCAUGGCUGCAUCAAGGUAACAGAUAAAUACACGUUAAAGGAUGUCGCAUUGGUAAAGAAUUUGCAUUAUAAUUUGCUGUCUGUUUCGCAACUUCUUGAGGAUGAUUUUGAGGUUCGUUUUAAGAAAGGAAAUUCGCGUGUUCUUGAUUCUGCUGGUAACCUUGUUUGCAAGAUUUCUCCUUUUAGACGGAUUUUUAAAGCUGAUUUUUCUAAAUCUUUUGGUGAAACUCGCUGUUUAGUUGCUCAUGGUUCCCCCCUGAUUUGGAAGUGGCAUCGUCGGUUGGGCCACUUGAGCUUUGAUUUGCUUUGUCGUUUGAGUUCAUUGGAUUUAAUUGAUGGUUUACCGAAACUCAAGUUUGAAAAGGAUUUGAUUUGUGCUCCCUGCAAGCAUGGAAAAAUGGUUGCUGCUUCUCAUUCACCUGUGACUCAGGUGAUGACGAGACGACCAGGUGAACUGUUACAUAUGGACACUGUUGGUCCAGCCCGUGUUCGGUCUGCUGGUGGGAAGUGGUAUGUGCUCGUCGUUGUGGACGAUUUUUCUCGAUAUUCAUGGGUGUUCUUUUUGGAAUCUAAGGAUGAGGCUUUCUCACAUGUUCAUGAUCUUGUUCUAAAGCUGAAAAAUGAGUUGUCAAAUAAUGCCGUUAGAGCAAUUCGCAGUGACAACGGUACGGAAUUCAAGAAUUCUCGCAUGAAAGCUUUCUGUUCAGAACAAGGUUUAGAUCAUCAGUUUUCCUCACCUUACGUUCCUCCCCAGAACGGUGUUGUUGAGCGUAAAAAUCGUACGCUUGUUGAGAUGGCUAGGACAAUGCUUGAUGAACAUAAAACUCCUAGACGUUUUUGGGCUGAGGCUAUCAACACCGCUUGCUAUGUUGCUAAUCGCAUUUUUCUGAGAGCUUUUCUAGGAAAAACAUCUUAUGAGUUGAGAUUUGGUCGACCUCCCAAAGUUUUCCACCUUCGAGUUUUUGGCUGCAAGUGUUUUAUAUUGAAAAAGGGAAAUUUGGAUAAAUUUGAAUCGCGUUCUUCCGAUGGGUUAUUUUUGGGGUAUGCCUUGCAAGGGCGAGCGUACCGUGUGCUUAAUCUUGAUACUAACCGCAUCGAUGAGACAUGUGAGGUCAGCUUCGACGAGACAAUGCCUUGUUUUUCUUCUGCUUUUGAGUGUGCAGGUGAUGACGAGAUCGGGCAGGAUAUUUUUGAGGAUGAGAAAGAGGACGAUGGAUGUGACGACGACGAUGACGAUGAUGCCCAGCCUGCGAUGCAGGGGGAGCCUGGCGCCCAGCCUGAGCAGGCGCCCUCCACCACUUUGGAGGAUGGACCAUCGCCGACACGUAUAUCUACAGCAGAGUCUGCAGCUUCACCGACUGUUGAUCAUGUACCGGCUGUAGUUGAGGGGGAGGCGAUUUCAGAACGUACAGCACCACGACACAUUCAGAAUCGUCAUCCUGCCAAGAACAUAAUAGGUAAUUUGGAUGAACGCACGACAAGGAACAGAGGUACGAAAAAUAAAAAUUAUUGUGUCUUUGCGCAUACUGCCUUUGUUGCCUCUUUUGAACCCCGAGAUGUUGGACAUGCUUUAUCUGAUUCUAACUGGGUCAAUGCCAUGCAUGAGGAGUUAGAAAAUUUUGCACGGAAUCAGGUUUGGGUUUUGGUUGAUCCUCCUCCUUCUUGUAAACCAAUUGGAACUAAAUGGAUCUUUAAGAACAAACAAGGGGAAGAUGGUCAUGUUGUUAGAAAUAAAGCUAGGUUGGUUGCUCAGGGCUUUUCUCAAAAAGAGGGUAUUGAUUAUGGUGAAACUUUUGCUCCUGUUGCUCGUUUAGAAGCCAUUCGUAUUUUGCUUGCAUUUGCUGCUUCACGUGGAUAUAAGCUUUAUCAAAUGGACGUGAAAAGUGUUUUUCUGAAUGGUUUUAUAGAAGAAGAAGUUUAUGUUAAACAACCGCCUGGUUUUGAACAUCCCAAUUUUCCUGAUCGUGUUUUUAAGUUGCAAAAGGCUUUAUAUGGUUUGAAGCAAGCACCUCGUGCUUGGUAUGCUAGAUUGAAAACUUUUCUGCUUAAAAACGGGUUCAAAAUGGGUUCAGUUGAUAAAACUCUUUUUCUCCUCAGGCAAGGCAAUGACACUUUAAUAGUUCAGAUUUAUGUGGAUGAUAUCAUUUUCGGUGGUUCCUCUCAUGCUCUUGUGAAAAAGUUUGCAGAUGUGAUGAGUAAAGAAUUUGAGAUGUCUAUGAUGGGCGAGCUGCAUUUCUUUCUUGGCUUACAAAUAAAACAAACUUCGGAAGGUACAUUUGUGCAUCAGGGAAAGUACACGAAGGAUGUCCUGAAGAAGUUUGCGAUGGAUGAUGCGAAGCCAAUUUCUACACCCAUGCCGACUAGCGCUACUUUGGAUGCUGAUGAGGACGGAGAGCCCGUGGAUCAGAAGGAAUAUCGAAGCAUGAUGGGGUCGCUGCUGUACUUGACUGCUACGAGGCCAGAUAUACACUUUGCUGUGUGUAUGUGUGCUCGUUUUCAGGCGUCCCCCAGGACUUCUCACCGUCAGGUGGUGAAGCGCAUAAUGAGGUAUCUUCGAUUUACUCCUGCAUUUGGCCUUUGGUACUCUGCUGCUUCAACUCUCAGUUUGUGUGGUUAUUCGGAUGCUGAUUUUGCUGGGUGUCGUUUGGAUAGAAAGUCUACAUCGGGUACUUGCCAAUUUUUGGGUUCUUCGCUUGUUUCUUGGUCCUCUAGAAAACAAUCUAAUGUUGCUCAAUCUACUACAGAGGCUGAGUAUGUUGCUGCUGCUAGUUGUUGUUCUCAACUUUUAUGGAUGAUAGCUACCCUUCGCGAUUUUGGUUUGUCGUUUUCUCGCGUUCCUCUCUUGUGUGACAGCACUAGCGCUAUAAGUGUUGCAAAGAAUCCUGUGCUUCACUCUAAGACAAAACACAUUGAGGUUCGUCAUCAUUUUCUGAGGGAUCAUGUUGAGAAGGGUGAUAUUAAGCUUAAAUACAUUGAUACUAGUCAGCAACUUGCUGAUAUUCUGACUAAACCACUCGAUCAAACCACGUUUGCACGUUUGCGUGGUGAGUUUGGGGUGUGUUACCCAUUCUAGUAUCAUUGUAAGUUGCUUCAGUUACAUAUGCCUUAUACUUAUUUUGGCUAGUUUGCGAUCGAUGCUUUUGGAGAGGUUUGAAUGCUUUGCUUGACCAAUUUUUAUUUUGAAAACAGCACAGAUAUAUACUUAAAAAAUUAUGUUGGGCUAUGCUUGCUUUUCUGAAUCUAGUGACUUGUUGAAUACUUGACAUAUAUCUUGCUCAUGGUUCGGUAGUCAGCUUCUUUUAAUGGGUUUUCACUGCAAAUGUAACUCACAAUCCAAGUUUUAACUCGGGAGUGCAUAGUAUGGUUGUGAGCAAAAACUCUGAAUUCCCAUAUCUCUGCUAUUUAGCUCAUGAUCUGCUUGCCUUACUGAGAAUUUAAAUAUGGGCGCAACUCUGUUUUUCCCAUGUCCCUGCUGGUUCUCGCUCAUAAAAAAAAUUAAACAAAUUGGCUGGGCACAACUCUUGCUUCCCAUAUCCCUGCUUAUCAUGCUCACAAAAGUCAGACUUAAAUAUGACAAGUGAAUGCAUUUGUGGGCGUUGCAGUGAACUUUGACUGAAGCUGUGUAUCUGUCGUGUGAGCUCGCUAUAUGUUUUGUCUUCAGCUUUGCACUGAGUUUGGAAUGUGCAUGUUUUUGCCUGGCACAUUAGUUUUCAAACAGAUUUCAGUUCUAAAUUUUUAUUGGUCAUGGCAUUGUAUUGUUCCUUCUCUGGAUAGCUAGUGUUGUUGGUUAGCUUUUAUAAGUAUUUGGCAUAUGUCUCAGAAGCUUCAACUUGUGCUUUCUCACAUGCUUUUCUCUAAAUUGGUUCCUUGCAUUUUAUCUUGAUGGAGUGCUUUGUCAACAAGGGGGAGAGUGAGUAGCGCACAAAUUCAUUCUUGCAGGGGGAGUUCGUUCAUUCAGGGGGAGUUUUGCUGAAAUUUGUGAGUUUUGCUGCUGAGAUUGCUUUUGGGAGAUUGAUAUGGCUUUUGAUUCACUUUGGGGAGAGUGAAUUUCUGUCUUGAUUGUGUCGAGCCUAGCUUUUUCGCUAGCCCAUGUCUUUGGGGAUUAAGAUCGUUUCUUUUUCUUUCUUUUUAUUUUUUCUUUUUCAGUACGAAUAAAUUUGUGCGGUGUGGUGUUGUCAAUGCACUCAUCAAGGGGGAGAUUGAGAUGCCGGUGGGCUAGCACCUUGGUGAUGAGCGAUUGACAACACGGUGUGCGUGUGACGUGUCUCUUGGCAGGUUGUGGUUGCAGGUGACAGGUGGAGACAAGGUACAUGCGGCGACGAGUGAAGAACGAAGAUAGGAUGCCGCGUCGAAAAACCGCGGGGGCGGAGAAGGGCGGAUCGAGGCUUGCGUUCGAGGGACAGGCGAUCGUGCGGUGUACGUCUACUGUACCUGGCUACACGGCGGGAGGACGUCGAUGGAGGUUUCCGGAUUAUGCCACAAAAUCCGGGGUUCGCUGGUUGAGCCACAAAGCCAUGCAUCGUACCGGGACGCUCGUGCGGCGUGCGAAGAUGGAAAUUCUGGCGAUCGCGAUACGAUUUCGGAUGGUUGUGCGGCGACAUCGCGAGGAUCACAUCGCGGAGAUGGAGGGAUCGCGGACAUCGCGGAAUUUGCCAUGGAGGACGUAAUUGGAAUUUACGCCCCUACGUUGGAUUUAUUUAGCGUAGGGGGUUAUGUGAAAAUAGGUCGUGCCACCCUUUGGAGAUAUAAAUAUGUGGCACCUAGGGUUGAGGGAAAAGUGGACGUUUUGGACUCCCGGCGAGUUACUAUUCACGCGUGAACAGUACCCGUGAACAGUACUCGUGCCCUGGGGUUCCACGGUUCAAUUUUCCUCUCUCCGGUCUAGCCUAGGGUUUGAAUUCUAGUGAGAGGUUUUUGUUGAUCUCUCCGAUUAAGAGAGGGAGGAUGUUCGGGCGGAGGCUAGAUGCACUUUUGUAAGUUCAAUUACUCGAUUUAAUCUUUCAUCUAUAAUGAUUGAUCUUGUGCAUCUCGAUUGGUUCUUUACAAUUCUCGUCAGCAUCUGACAUAGUCUGCUUGUUUUAUUUUUAUCUCAAGAUCCGUAAGUCCGAUUGACGUGAUUCCAGUUGGGUUAGUUUCGUAAUUUCAUCUAGUUUAAUCUGACAAAUUUUUAGGUCGAUCGGAGUUACGGAUUUUCGUCCACAUCAGGUUUACUAGGUACAUAGAGUUCUGUCCAGAUUUGAAAAACGUGAUUUAUUCAGGUUUUGUGUUUAGGGGAAGGGUUAGAAAUAUUUGUUAGAAAGUUUUGGCUUCUGCGACCAUUCACCCCCCCUCUGGUCGCCCGUUACGAUCCUUCACAAAGGAAAAAGGAAAAGAUGUCACCCACUACAAUGAGUGCCAUCAUGGCGAUCAACUCUCGAAUCGCUAUCAGUACUGCUUUGAUUGUGCUAACUAAACCAAUUGAGGAACAAUAUCAUUAGUGGUACAGUCGGGAAAAGCGGGAUGAGAGCAUCCAUAUCGAUUGUGAGUUGGACACGGGUAAAUAAUUCAUGGACUCGCAGGUGUGCCACUAGUUAGAGGUUUGGUUGCCCCUUUUGUUUCUACAAAUGUGCGGUAAAAUUCCUUUCACUUGGUUUUCGAUCAAGCUUCCAUGUAUACUGCUCCCUCCAUCCUAAAUUAUAGAUCAUUUCAUGUUUUCUAGAUUCGUACCUUUCACUGUGCAUCCAGAUAUAAUAUAUAUCUAGGUGCAUAGCAAAAUCUAUGAAUCUACAAAAACCAAAAUGAUCUAUAAUUUAGGACGGGGAGGAAGUCCGAAAGAUUGAUGGCGUCCUUCGUAAAAAGUCCUGCCAUGUACCAUUUAUGUUCUACGAAUGGGCUAUAUGAAUCUUAUUAUUAUUAUUCCAAGAAUUUUAGCUGCAUGGUCAUUCAGAAGAUGGGCAUGAGUGCUCGUGCCUAACAAUAAAUAAACUUCGCUAAAACUCCAGAAUAUCAACUACAGUUGUAUACUUUAUAUGCAUGGUAUAAACUUACAGUAAUGAAGCAAAAAGUCCAUUUUCUGUUGAACAAACGACAAGAGGAUUGGUAAAAUGGUAAAAGUGUUGUGAAAGUGUUAAUUCUCCAGUAUGGAUGGUAAACUGGUAAAAAGUGGUAACAAGGAUGAAUCUCAGCUCACGGGGGAGUAGAUGACAUCAACAACUAACCUCCCUCGCGCUAGCUGCUGCGGCAACAAUGAAUUGCUUGCAGUCACUUGUCUGUACAGCAGGAUAGUGGCCACCAUUAUUUGUAGUCAUUCUGCCUAAGGAGACGACGCUAGCAGUGAGUGUGAGCAGGGCAGCAGCUUUAUGGCUCGUCUCGCCAUGGCCCCAAUAAUUGGUCCACUUGUAUUGAUUUCACUGCACAGGAUUCACAUGCUGGAGGCUGCGCCUUGUGCCGACACUUUUGUGUGAACUCAUAGGCCGACGACUCCAAGUCUCCGCUGCUUGCCACCCACUAAUGAAUGUCGACUUGGCGCUGGUUCCACGGAGAUGCUAAUACAUGUGAAGGAUAGGACAUAAGACCAAAGGAAAGAACAACUAACAAUAACAAGUGGGCAUGCUUACUCAGAGACUUAAAAGACUUAGCUGCACAUCAAGAACUAGUCGGCUAUACUAAUUGCAUCUGAAAAUGAUCUUAGGGUUCAUGUUUAGAUGUAUUGGCUUAACUGAUACCAAAUGUAGGAAACUACAUUACUUAGCUUAAUCUAAAUAGUAUCUUUCCUUUGGUCUCUUUAAUUUCUUUGCCUCAGGUCACUUUCUAGCUAAUGCUAAUGCACAAGUAGAUUUAUUUACUGGAAAAACGUGCUUAUGCAGAUCAAUAUUUACCUUCACCGGCUUCACCGUUUGCUGUUGGGAUCGUCUUGGAUUCCUCUGCUUCUCUGCCAUUCGGGCACCUAGGUAACAGAGGUCCUGUCUAGUUCCCCAAAAUUCCAACUUUAUCACUAUACAAAAAGAAGAUUCUCCAUCACAUCAAACUUGCGAUACAUGCAUGGAGUACUGAAUGUAGAUGAAAUUAAAAACUAAUUGCACAGUUUUGUUGUACUUUGCGAGACGAAUCUUUUGAGCCUAAUUAGUCAAUAUUUGGACAAUAAUUCAUAAAUACAAACGAAAUGCUACAGUUGCGCUAUAGUAAUUUUGGUUGUCCAAAGUUGGACAACUAAACAACACCGAGGUCUGAAACGCACUAAUCGUCCACUGUACACUGGUAGCGACCGUACACAGACUGAACCCCUGCUUCCUGUUGGAGAACCAUUGAACGCGUCGUCAGAGCUAAAUCAUUGAGCCUUGACACAUUUCUUUGCCCCAACGUCAUUUUCUGACCACUGCUAAUGGGCAGUUGGUUUCCUUUCUUAUUUUGAAAAAAUAAUAAAAAAUCGAGAUUUCCGCUACUAAUCAUUAGACAACGGCUAGUAUACAGUGGCGCAGGAUCAAGGCUUGUGGGCCCACAACCCGUGGGACCCAGCCGCUCGUGACGACAGUGCAGGGGAAAUUAUGAAUAUACAGUGAACGUAGUACUACACCUCACCUACUCCUGUCGUUUUCCAGCCGUGCCACGCGGGCCCCGCAGCGCGCUGCGCUCGUACUCGCUACGUUUUCUGGUCACGCCCCUGAAUUUCACGUAAGUGCCGGCUAAAAUACAUGUUUUAUCGUUCCUUUCUGGUAUCUGAACUGUGGCACCGUGCUGUUCUGGUAUCUGAGGCCUAGUUGGCUAAGGCCAUGUUUAGUUACUCCCAACUUCCAACUUUGACACUAUGCAAAAAGAAGAUUCCCCAUCACAUCAAACUUGCGGUACAUGCAUGGAGUACUAAAUGUAGAUGAAAUUAAAAAGUAAUUGCACAGUUUUGUUGUACUUUGCGAGACGAAUCUUUUGAGCCUAAUUAGUCAAUAUUUGGACAAUAAUUCACAAAUACAAACGAAACGCUACAGUGUGCUACAGUGCUGUAACAGUAAUUUGGCACCUCCCAAAUUGGCCAACUAAACAAGGCCUAAAUUGGAAGGUGCCAAAUUACUGUAGGAAGCCAUUGAUGAUGGUACUGANNNNNNNNNNNNNNNNNNNNNNNNNNNNNNNNNNNNNNNNNNNNNNNNNNNNNNNNNNNNNNNNNNNNNNNNNNNNNNNNNNNNNNNNNNNNNNNNNNNNNNNNNNNNNNNNNNNNNNNNNNNNNNNNNNNNNNNNNNNNNNNNNNNNNNNNNNNNNNNNNNNNNNNNNNNNNNNNNNNNNNNNNNNNNNNNNNNNNNNNNNNNNNNNNNNNNNNNNNNNNNNNNNNNNNNNNNNNNNNNNNNNNNNNNNNNNNNNNNNNNNNNNNNNNNNNNNNNNNNNNNNNNNGUCUCAUAGCUUAUUUUUCCAUGGUGACCUUUUUCCCGGAUUCAGGAAUAAGUUCCAGCUUCUGUAGUCAAGUUUGAGAGAGUACUCCUGCAGAUAACAAAGACGCAGUACACAGAUGGCCCACACCACUGACAUGGCACAAGUUCUAAGCAAGAGAAACAAAAGGAUCACAAUGGCUAGUUUAGUGAUUCUCUCCUAAAAUUGCAGCCCGGCUGGCCGAAGAUCUACAUGGUGACGUCCUCCAACCUUAGGGAAUCCUUUCGUUGGUAUUUACGAAUUAUUAUUCAAAUAUUAGCUAAUUAGGCUCAAAAGAUUCGUCUGGCAAAGUACAACAAAACUGUGCAAUUAGUUUUUAAUUUCGUCUACAUUUAGUACUCCAUGCAUGUACCGCAAGUUUGAUGUGACGGGGAAUCUUCUUUUUGCAUAGUGUCAAAGUUAGGAGUUGGGAGGUAACUAAACAUGACCUGAAUUGUGGCUCUGUGUUGUUUCAGGAAGCCAUUGAUGAUGGUACUGAUAAUGAGCAUGAUUUUGACACAAAAUCUGAGAAUGUUCUAGAUCUGCAACAACAGGAAAAGACAAUAUAUCCUCAAAGGCCUGGUGAACCAGAGUGUUCUCACUACAUGAAGCAUGGAUACUGUAAAUUUCAGAAGAGCUGCAUAUUCCAUCAUCCGACAGACCAUCUUUCAAACAAAUAGGUACACACCGUUAUGUGGUUCUUUUUUUUUCCCCCUUGGUAUCAAAUGUUCACAUAAAUAUGGUUACACCCUUGGGGGUUUGUUUUGUGUAUGAAAUUUUCAUAUAAAUACAGCCUAGCAGUUAAGGAAAAAGGUGAAAUGGAUGGAGGCAGGUGUGUGUUUGGGAAAAAAGUAUAUAUGCAUGGAUUAAAUCAAUUCUACUUUGUGGCAAGUGGUUACUAUUACCCUAAUAUUGGCAACUACCUUAAAUUAUUGCAUGAUAAUGUAGGCACAUAGCAUCUGAGUUUAUUACUCUCUUGUAGUGUCCCUUUCUGGGUCCUGCAUAUGCUAUUUACCUGGCAACUGGCAUACAAGAAUGGCACUAGGAAAUCCCUUUUGGCAUUGCUGGUUUGGACACCUUGUCUCGUCUUUUAUGCAACAUGGCCCAUAAUUAAAGUUGGUCUCCAUUUGUAUUGCGUUUGAAUCAUCAGAGGGCGGUAGCUGAUGUUUGCACAGCAAAUGACCUGUGGAAACUGCACGGCAGCCUUCAUUGUUUUGCCCCCUCAUCUGACUGGUUACCCUGGUGUUUUUGAUUGCCUUGUUUGCAGGACCGUUUCACCACUACCACUUCUGUAGCUGACUCAGGUGGGGGAUAUGACUGGCUGUGGCUGAUGAGUGGAGGAAGUUCUGAUGAUGGAACAGAAAAUGAUUGUAGGGAGCUUCAACCCUAGUCUUCUGUGAAGAGAUUGAUUAUUCUACCACGUUUGGGUCGAAUUUCUGCCCCCUAUCUGUCGUUAGAGUUCUCGUACCAGAUGUGAACUGCCUGGUGGCUCCCAACUCCCAGUCGCUCAUAUGCCAUAUAACGUUGCUGCGACCUCCCUGUGUUGUUAACUUGAGGUUGCGAACCACAUACUUAGCAUGCAGCUCUAGAUGCCUGCACUGACCGACCGAAGAUUGUGAUCAUGGCAAGAUUAAAAUAUCAGACCAUCUUUUGUAACGUGCGAUCUCCAUCGUUUUAUUUGUCGUUUGGAUCUUCAAGCUAAGUCGCGGCCUUUACUUUCUGUUGUCCCCUGAUAAGCAUGCAUGUGUUGGACUGUUGGUUAUGGUUGGGUCAGGCUGCUGGCCAAACCGAACGGUGGUCAAGCCGUUCGAUCGAUGCUGCGAGUUCAAGAGUCUUCUGCGCGUGUCCAGGCUUGGAGCUCUGGUCUUGCCUAAGGGUAUGGUAGUAUUACGCUGUGCGGAAUAAUUUGAUUUGGUCUGAUUGAUUCCCAAUUUUCAAAUGGUUGUUAGGUAUCGUCGUCGUCGUCGUGCACAGCACUCAUGAGACGCACGUUGGCGACACGCACCUGCACAUUGCCCAAGUUCCAAGGAAAGUAAAUUAAGAUGCUCGCAAUCAUGUGAGAGACGGUGCUCCUCAAAAGAUCGAUACCUAAACCAUGAACGAUCAUGCGAACCUGAAUUAUUGCGGUUGCAAGUGGCUACGGCGGAAUCAGAUCCCUCUGACUGAGAAUUCAGAUUACAAAUAAUCCUGGGACCCGGGUUGGCCGUUCGCAUUUGCAGUCACGCAUCAAGCGAUUAGGAUCACCUCUCUACAAAGCAUUCCGCAAUCAGCACGGAGUAGAAGCAUACACUUUGGAACCCCCCACCCCUCAUUUUUUCUUGUCGCUAAUAGUACCCCAUCCCCCGGUCAUGGCGGCGGUUCUGGACGCGUUCGCGUCCAAGCUGGCGAGCAUCCUAGCCGGCAUGGCGAAGGGCGAAGUGGAGAUGCUUCUUGGCGUACCCGGUGAGAUCACCAAGCUUGAGACCACGCUCGGCGACCUGAGCAGCAUUCUGGCAGAUGCUGAGAGGAGGCGCAUCCGUGACUCGACGGUGGAGCGGUGGGUGAGGGAGCUCAAGGAUGUCAUGUACGACGCCGAUGACAUCCUUGACCUCUGCCAGAUCAUGGAGGGCGGAGAAGAUCCCUCUUCUUCAGCUGCUGCUCGAAAAGCCACUUCAGGGUGCUGGAACAUCCCCGCGAUGUUCUUUUGCUUCCGCAACCCCGUGGUUGCACACGAGAUCGGGAAGAAGAUCCAAGCGCUCAACAAGCGACUGGAAGAUCUUGAGAAGAGAAGCUCCCGCUUUGGAUUCAUCAAGCAAGCAAUUAACUCCUCAGGUUAUUCCAUCAACAAUGCCAUCAAUCCUUGGUCCAAUAGUAAUACAAAGACUGGAUCGAUCAUUAUCAAGUCUGAUGUUGUCGGCGAGAAGAUCGAGGAGGAUACCAAGAAAAUCGUUGAUCUACUCAUCAGAAUGUGGACUCUCGCGUAGGAUUAAAUAGCAACAAUGUGAUUGUUGAUCUUGCANNNNNNNNNNNNNNNNNNNNNNNNNNNNNNNNNNNNNNNNNNNNNNNNNNNNNNNNNNNNNNNNNNNNNNNNNNNNNNNNNNNNNNNNNNNNNNNNNNNNUCAGGACAUGGUAUGCCAUUGUAACACAGGUAGUCUCAGGAUGAUGAUUCCUCUAACACAAUGGAUUAGUAUGGUGCGAACUUAAUUGCCAAAAAGAUAGAGAACUUCAGAUUGAUGCUAUCUUUUUUGUACUACGGGUGUCAACAUGUACACUCUACGAAGGCACAGGGUUGUCCGAAGUAGCCAGACGAAUGCAUUACUCCUCAUUGAUUAUGACCCUCCUCCAGAUGGCGCAGGUCGGCGAACCUUGGCUACACCGAGUAUAUCAUUAGCACUCUCUGGAAAGAACUAACGCCCGCCCCAGUCCGGUGACGGACUGCGCACGUGUGAUGCACGCGCCGUUGGUUUGCCGAGUGUCGAAAUGUUGCCGUGUGUCGCUGAGAGGUUUGCCGAGUGGCAAAAUUUUUACACUCGGCAUUGAGGUCAUUUGCCGAGUGCCAUAAAUCCGACACUCGGCAAACCUCUCAGCGACACACGGCAACAUUCCGACACUCGGCAAACCAACGGCGCGUGCAUCACACGUGCGCCGUCCGUCACCGGACUGGGGCGGCCGUUAGUUCUUUGCCGAGUGUUGGACUCCGACACUCGGCAAAGACAAGGUUCGCCGAGUGCCGCCUUCCGACACUCGGCAAAUAGAGAAUGUCGCCGAGUGCCUAGGCCUAGCCACUCGGCAAACACAGUACUUCGCCGAGUGUAAAAUGUUGGCACUCGGCGAACAAAAAAAAAAAAUCCUCCCCUAGCCUCCACACUUUUUCUACUCUCCACGUAGGACAUUUUGUAAGCCAUAAGAAAAGUUGGUAUAUUUUGUGGUCUGUUUGCUAUUUUUAAUGAAAUGAUUGCAUUAAUAAGAAUUUUUUUAUUCAUGUCAGAUUUUAACUGCAUGUACAUGAAAUGAUGGUUUUUAAUCAGUGGAAAAUUUAUAUCCAUAUUAUGGAGUCCGGAUUGAGUUCACAACCAGAAAAUGAAAAGAAAUUGUCAACAUUGUUUUUAAAAAAUGCCACCACGAACGUGAGGUUGAAUGGUGGUUAAAUUCCAAAAAAAGCAAACGAAAUCUGAAAAUCACAAGAUUUGUCAAGAUGUCAUGAUAUUAUGUGUGGAGGCUGUGGUAAAAAAUUGAGAAGGUUUUGCACAAUUUCUGACAUAUGAUGCUUAGAAGCCGACGCAUCUCCUUGAAGGAUUCAUAGAAGUUAGAGAGGACACAAUAAGAUUUGGAGUCCAAGUGACACUUGAGUUAACGUUUGGCUUCAAAUAUUUUUGCAUAGGCAACAUGCAACACAGAUUGGUUCGUGUCAAAAUUUGGAAAUUUUUUGGAUGCGUUUACUAUUUUUUAUUGAUUAAAUGCAAUUAUAGAAUUUUAGUAGAUAUAAAUGCAUAUUUCGCUAUAACUGCAUGAAAUAAUAGAACAUUAUCAGUAGAAAAAUAAUUUAAACAUUGUUGAGUGAUGUUGACACGAUUUUGCCCAAGUAUAUUAGGAAAAGAUCUGUAAAACAUGUUGUUUAAGGAGGCACAUGAAAUAUAAGUGUAUUUUACCGAGUGCAUAAAGAAAACACUCGGUAAAGGUAGUAUUUGCCGAGUGUUAGAUCGCAGGCACUCGGUAAAAAGGUUACAGGGCCCACUGGCAGUGUUCUCGUCCUGCUUUAAAAAAGAAAACCUUGUGUUUGCCGAGUGCCUUGAUCUGGCACUCNNNNNNNNNNNNNNNNNNNNNNNNNNNNNNNNNNNNNNNNNNNNNNNNNNNNNNNNNNNNNNNNNNNNNNNNNNNNNNNNNNNNNNNNNNNNNNNNNNNNNNNNNNNNNNNNNNNNNNNNNNNNNNNNNNNNNNNNNNNNNNNNNNNNNNNNNNNNNNNNNNNNNNNNNNNNNNNNNNNNNNNNNNNNNNNNNNNNNNNNNNNNNNNNNNNNNNNNNNNNNNNNNNNNNNNNNNNNNNNNNNNNNNNNNNNNNNNNNNNNNNNNNNNNNNNNNNNNNNNNNNNNNNNNNNNNNNNNNNNNNNNNNNNNNNNNNNNNNNNNNNNNNNNNNNNNNNNNNNNNNNNNNNNNNNNNNNNNNNNNNNNNNNNNNNNNNNNNNNNNNNNNNNNNNNNNNNNNNNNNNNNNNNNNNNNNNNNNNNNNNNNNNNNNNNNNNNNNNNNNNNNNNNNNNNNNNNNNNNNNNNNNNNNNNNNNNNNNNNNNNNNNNNNNNNNNNNNNNNNNNNNNNNNNNNNNNNNNNNNNNNNNNNNNNNNNNNNNNNNNNNNNNNNNNNNNNNNNNNNNNNNNNNNNNNNNNNNNNNNNNNNNNNNNNNNNNNNNNNNNNNNNNNNNNNNNNNNNNNNNNNNNNNNNNNNNNNNNNNNNNNNNNNNNNNNNNNNNNNNNNNNNNNNNNNNNNNNNNNNNNNNNNNNNNNNNNNNNNNNNNNNNNNNNNNNNNNNNNNNNNNNNNNNNNNNNNNNNNNNNNNNNNNNNNNNNNNNNNNNNNNNNNNNNNNNNNNNNNNNNNNNNNNNNNNNNNNNNNNNNNNNNNNNNNNNNNNNNNNNNNNNNNNNNNNNNNNNNNNNNNNNNNNNNNNNNNNNNNNNNNNNNNNNNNNNNNNNNNNNNNNNNNNNNNNNNNNNNNNNNNNNNNNNNNNNNNNNNNNNNNNNNNNNNNNNNNNNNNNNNNNNNNNNNNNNNNNNNNNNNNNNNNNNNNNNNNNNNNNNNNNNNNNNNNNNNNNNNNNNNNNNNNNNNNNNNNNNNNNNNNNNNNNNNNNNNNNNNNNNNNNNNNNNNNNNNNNNNNNNNNNNNNNNNNNNNNNNNNNNNNNNNNNNNNNNNNNNNNNNNNNNNNNNNNNNNNNNNNNNNNNNNNNNNNNNNNNNNNNNNNNNNNNNNNNNNNNNNNNNNNNNNNNNNNNNNNNNNNNNNNNNNNNNNNNNNNNNNNNNNNNNNNNNNNNNNNNNNNNNNNNNNNNNNNNNNNNNNNNNNNNNNNNNNNNNNNNNNNNNNNNNNNNNNNNNNNNNNNNNNNNNNNNNNNNNNNNNNNNNNNNNNNNNNNNNNNNNNNNNNNNNNNNNNNNNNNNNNNNNNNNNNNNNNNNNNNNNNNNNNNNNNNNNNNNNNNNNNNNNNNNNNNNNNNNNNNNNNNNNNNNNNNNNNNNNNNNNNNNNNNNNNNNNNNNNNNNNNNNNNNNNNNNNNNNNNNNNNNNNNNNNNNNNNNNNNNNNNNNNNNNNNNNNNNNNNNNNNNNNNNNNNNNNNNNNNNNNNNNNNNNNNNNNNNNNNNNNNNNNNNNNNNNNNNNNNNNNNNNNNNNNNNNNNNNNNNNNNNNNNNNNNNNNNNNNNNNNNNNNNNNNNNNNNNNNNNNNNNNNNNNNNNNNNNNNNNNNNNNNNNNNNNNNNNNNNNNNNNNNNNNNNNNNNNNNNNNNNNNNNNNNNNNNNNNNNNNNNNNNNNNNNNNNNNNNNNNNNNNNUUCUUCAUUCGACAAACAUCGACAAUUCCUUCUCCUGAUCAUCCUUUCAGACGAGAUAUUAGAAAUUUUACAAAAGAUGUCGUAGUUAACGACCCUCCACCGCAGAUGCUUACUUAGCCGCGGUUCGUGCUCAGUUAGACGCUCUGGAGGUCAACAUUCAAGAUGGUGGUUUUGUGGGAUAUGGCGAGCAACAUGCUUGGACCCAGAGAUCGUGCUUGUGGAACCUCCCCUAUUUUGAUGAUCUUCUUCUCCCACACAACAUUGAUGUUAUGCAUACUGAAAAGAACAUUGCCGAGGCAAUUUUUGGUACCAUUAUGGACAUUCCUGACAAGACAAAAGAUAACGUUAAGGCUAGAGUGGAUCAAGCAAUGUUAUGCAACAGACCAAAGUUAGACAUGGCGCCUCCCAGAGCAGGCAAGUCGUGGAGAAAGCCUAAGGCUGAUUUCGUCCUGACGAGGGCCCAAAGGAGGGAGGUAUUACAAUGGUUCGAAACGUUAAUGUUCCCUGAUGGGUAUGCAGCAAAUCUGAAGAGGGGAGUGAACUUAGCUACUAUGCGAAUCAACGGGCUCAAAAGUCAUGAUUAUCACAUAUGGAUUGAGCGUCUACUUCCGGUGAUGGUUCGAGGUUAUGUCCCUGAGCAUGUGUGGCAGGUGCUAGCGGAGUUGAGUAAUUUCUUCCGCCAGCUUUGUGCUAAGGAGUUAUCUCGGACCGUGGUUGACGAAAUGGAAAGAAUGGCGCCUAUGUUGCUCUGUAAGUUGGAGAAGAUCUUUCCUCCUGGCUUCUUCAAUCCGAUGCAGCAUAUGAUUUUACACCUCCCUUAUGAAGCACGAAUGGGGGGGCCUGUGCAGGGCCGUUGGUGCUACUCAAUUGAGAGGUGUCAAAAGGUUCUUCGAACGAAAUGUAAAAACAAAUGCAAAAUUGAAGCCUCCAUUGCAGAAGCAUACAUUCUAGAGGAGGUGUCAAACUUCACAACAAAAUACUAUGCUGACAACCUUCCUAAUGUGCACAAUCCACCGCCUCGUUACAAUGACAACGAAGUUGAAUCGAGCCUUAGUCUUUUUCGAGGACAACUUGGAAGUGCAAGUGGUGCGACACAAAAAAAAUUGACACAUAAAGAGUGGCGCACAAUCAUGUUGUAUGUAUUGACCAACCUAUCCGAGGUGGAGCCGUACAUGCUGUAAGUUUUGAACAAACUAGUUAAUUCUGAAUUUGUCAGUAUUCUUCGACAUAUUAUCAUGUUUCUCGUUGGUGUAGGGAAUUCCAUCGUAAGUUUUGGCGUCAUUCAAGGGAACCUACCCCACAAGAAGCCGAGACUCUUCUCAAAGAGGGUGCAGGAAAUGGAAUGCCCAAUUUCAUUUCCUGGUUCAAACAUAAGGUACAGUUGAUUUUAGCUCCUACUUAGCUUGAUUAGAAGUUGAUCGUAUAUGCGAAUAAUAUAACGAACCACCCUACNNNNNNNNNNNNNNNNNNNNNNNNNNNNNNNNNNNNNNNNNNNNNNNNNNNNNNNNNNNNNNNNNNNNNNNNNNNNNNNNNNNNNNNNNNNNNNNNNNNNCUACACAUCCUCGUGUGGGAUUAGGACCUAUCUUCACCUAAUAGAUAAUAUAGGAAACGCGUAGAUGCAACGUGAGUUUUUUAUAUUACUCGGUGAUAUGCUAGUGGAUGGAGGAUCGUCAGUGGAUGUACACGGGCCGAUCUAGUCAGAAUUCGUUGACCGAAGAAUGGAUAAACAAGACCGAUGCUUUCUUGGAACGGGCAUUUGCAAGGAUCAAAGGAGGAAGAGAUACUUGGUGUCCGUGUAGAAAAUGUGGAAAUCUGCGUCGGCAAACCAAGUUAGAAAUGGGUAAACAUCUUGUUAGGCACGGUUUUACCCCAGACUAUACCAUCUGGAUCUACCAUGGUGAAUUCGAUCGUGGGAGGGACGAGGUCAUCAGACAACGGAUCGAGCAAUAUGAUGAUGAUGCCGGGGUGGGAGACAUGUUAGAUGACUAUCAUGAAGCUCGUAGGGAGGAGGAACCCGAGGCUACCGCAAAGGCGUAUUACGACAUGUUGUGUGCGGCACAGCAACCCCUUCACGGGCAUACCAAGGUCUCUCAAUUGGAUGCCAUUGCACGUCUAAUGGCUGUUAAGUCCCAGUUUAGCUUGAGUCGAAACGCCUUCGAUGUUAUUUUGACAGUUUUUGGGAGUCUGCUCCCGGAGAAUCACAUCUUGCCAAAGUCUAUGUAUGAGGCACAAAAACUUCUUCGUGCACUUAAGAUGCCGUACGAGCAGAUACAUGCUUGUCCGAAGGGAUGUAUCUUAUUUAGAAAGGAAUAUGCGGAAUCAAAGUACUGUGUGAAGUGCGAAUCGUCUAGGUUCCUGGAGGUAGACUCUGGUGAAGGUCAGAAGAAGCAGCUUGCAAUCCCUGUGAAGAUCCUUCGGUACCUUCCCUUCAUACCGAGGAUCCAACGGCUAUACAUGUGUGAAGAAUCCGCGAAACAAAUGACAUGGCACAAAACCGGACGUCGAUACAAUGCUGAGAAGCUGGUACACCCAUCCGAUGGCGAAGCAUGGACAAAGUUUGAUGCGAUUUAUCAUGAGAAAGCUCGAGAGGCUCGUAAUGUAAGGGUUGCGCUCGCAACAGAUGGGUUCAAUCCUUAUGGAAUGGCUUCCGCCCCGUACACCUGUUGGCCUAUGUUCGUUAUCCCCCUCAAUCUCCCCCCUGGUGUUCUCUUUCAGCGACAGAACAUAUUUUUAUCGUUGAUAAUUCCAGAACAUCCAGGAAAUAAUAUGAGUGUGUACAUGGAGCCUUUAAUUGAUGAUUUGGUUCGUGCAUGGGAUGAAGGGGUAUGGACAUACGACCGUGCUACAAGGACAAACUUCAAGAUGCAUGUUUGGUAUCACUACUCCCUGCAUGACUUGCCAGCAUAUGGUAUUUUCUGUGGUUGGUGUGUUCACGGGAAGUUCCCAUGCCCAGUAUGCAAGGCUUCUUUGAAAUUCAUUUGGUUGACGAAGGGUGGCAAAUAUUCUUCAUUCGACAAACAUCGACAAUUCCUUCCUCCUGAUCAUCCUUUCAGACGAGAUAUUAGAAAUUUUACAAAAGAUGUCGUAGUUAACGACCCUCCACCGCAGAUGCUUACCUUAGCCGCGGUUCGUGCUCAGUUAGACGCUCUGGAGGUGAUGCACAGGCCGAGGAAACGGAGGGGGCACAGGUCCUUGCUAGAGGCAGGGGUCGGGGCAGGGGUCGAGGAAAGGGUAAAGGCGUGAGGCCCCCCUCGCCUGCGCCUUCGUCGUCGUCGGAGGACGAGGUACCUUUCGCGCACGCCUCUAGUGACGAGGCGGAGGUGGAGCAGGAGCAGGAGCAGGAGCAGGAGCAGGAGCAGGAGGCAGGGGAGGAGGCAGGGGAUUCGCAGUCCAAGAUCUGGUUGCGAGGUCCCUCGUCCCUUCCGAGGCGACCGAUCCCUCUUCAUUUACGCCCACUGAUUCAACCUACCGGGGCAAAGUAAGUAAUUUUACAUAUUCUUAGUACUUUUGAUAUGUUCAAAUUUACAAUAGAAACUAAUAAUGUAUAUUACUCACUUGUGUAGGAGUUGGAUUAAGCUCAGUGGGGGUGCCCACAAUCGCAAGGUCAACGGCAUCAUCGGUCUUUUGUGUAGGCUACACUUUCCCGGUCUGGUGGUUUUCGCCGGACAGGAGGAGCCGGCCUACACGUGGGACCACUACGUCGCCGCCGCCGACGUCGGUGAUCGUGACCACAGGCAAUUUGCGAACAAGGCGGAGCGAGUGAAGGCCGAGCUGUGGGUAAGUAUUCGAAGCACUAGAUUGCUUAAUACACAAGUUUCGCUAGACAUUCUUGAAAAAAUACUUGUUUGAAAUGUGUCUAUACGCAGGACUUUUAUAGAUGCCAAGAGGGAUUCGAGGCUAGGGCGGCCUCCGUCAUUGAACUAGCCGCAAAGAAGCUCGUUAAGGACAUGCACUACGAGGCGCGGGUUCAGGCCAUCAUCGACUUCUAUGCUGAAUACAAAAGGAUGAGGGUCAAAAAAGAAGAGGCUAGGACAAUGAACCUGACGAAGGAAGAAUUCAUGAUGGUACGUACAAAAAGUUAAUAUUAACUAUUUCUGAGAUUAAUUACGCUUCACUUCUUUUGUUAUAUGUCUGACACUUGAUGAUGUAGGUGCCUCCGUGGUGGUGCCGAUCCUUUACCCAUUGUUGGGAGCAAAUGGUGAACGUGUGGUUGCAGCCCGGGUGGUUGGAGAACCACAAUGCUUGCCGGGAGCGGCGUCUGCAGAUGCCAUAUGCACCACACCAUCAAGGCAGCCUGAGCCUUGAUGAAUACAAGGAAAAAUGGGUAUGUGAAUUCAUUUCUUUAGUAUCACACAUAAUGCACAUAAUACUGCAUAUUUUGUAAUCCUUUUGUAUUUUUGCCGCAGACGUCAUCACAUGAAGGCCAGGAGUGCUCCCGGUUCAAGGCAUGGGUUAUGUCCAAAAAGGGCAAGGCCUCGGCAGACAUCGACUUCAACCCGGAGGACCCGCCCGAGGCAUACAGCCAUCCCAGCAUCCACAGCCGUGUCACCGAGUACACAGCAAUGGCGAGGGAGGUUCAUGGGCCAGAGUUCGAUCCGAGCUCUCAGGAUAUAGAUCCUGAAAUUGUGAUGAGGGUGGGAGGAGGGAAGAAGCAUGGCAGGUACUGGAUUGGAGAUAGCGUGAUCGACACUACCAGUACUCCCACCCUCUCCCAGAUCCGAGCAAGGAGCACUGACUCGAGCCCCGCGAUACGGGCACGGCCUACCGCUGCACAGUUACAGAUGCAGGCUCUGCAGGUUAUUCCUGUUUCUUUAAUUUUUCAUUCAUUUUGUUCAUAUCUUGGCAUUGGCAAUAAGACAUUGGGAUGAAAUAUUGUAGGCCCAGGUGGAGGUAGAACGGAAGCGCCGGGAGGACCUAGAGGCGAGGAUCGAGGCAGAUCGGCAGCUAGAAAGGCAGAGGACGGAGCAGAUGUUCCAAUACAUGCAGAGUGUCUUUCACAGUUUAGGUCAGACUCCACCACCUAUGCCACCGAACCUAUUCCCGCCACCUCCACCACCUCCUGCAGCUACUCCUGUGAGUCACUCUCAACCUUACAAUCACUCUAGAAGUAAACUAGAAACUACAGGCACUACAGACUUACACUAGAAAAGUGACUAAUACAAUGUCUAUAAUUUGUGCAGAAUCAAUCGGCGGCGUCCAAUGCAGAAUCUUCUUGGGGGCAGUGGCCACCUGCACAUACUCCUCAGCCUCCUCAUCCUCCUCAUCCUCCUCAGUGACUUGUGAACUAGAUGUGUUAGCUGUGGUAAAACUUGUGAAUUACCUGUUUCGACCAUAACUUGCGAAUGUUAUUUGUGUGCUUGUGAUGCUUGUGCUGCAAUUUAUAUGCCUGUGGUGUAAUUUAUAUGCAUGUGCUUCUCUGGUUGUUUUUUUGAGAGGGGUCUUUUAUACGUAACAUUUUUGUUUUGUAGGGGGUGCUCGGGUACUUUGCCGAGUGUUAACACUCGGCAAAGACCCAAUUUUCUGUUGUAUCGACGUUUUUACCGAGUGCCAUUGCCUUGGCACUCGGCAAAGAUGCCAAAUUUUUUUUGCAGCAGGGCUCUUUGCCGAGUGCCAAGGGGGGCACUCGGCAAAACAUACAACUUCGCCGAGUGCCGUUGCCCAGGCACUCGGCAAAGGUGCCAAAAAUUUUUUGCACCAGGGCUCUUUGCCGAGUGCCAAGGGCGGGCACUCGGCAAAACAUACAACUUCGCCGAGUGCCAUUGCCUUGGCACUCGGCAAAGUUGGUAGGAUCGCCGAGUGUAAUGCGAAGAAAACACUCGGCAAAGAGGAAUACUUCGCCGAGUGCAAUGUGACAAAACACUCGGCAAAGCAGGUGGGUUCGCCGAGUGCAAUGUGAAAAAACACUCGGCAAAGAAGAUGGGUUCGCCGUGUGUCUGCCGUCUGACACUCGGCAAAGACGCCGUUACCGUCGGUGACCGUUACCAUCUUUUUGCCGAGUGUUACACUUUGCCGAGUGUAUUGUGGCACUCGGCAAAGCGUUUGCCGAGUGCCCGAUGAUUGACACUCGGCAAACGCACUGUUUGCCGUAGGAAACUUUGCCGAGUCAACUUCGCCGAGUGUUACACUCGGCAAACCUUUUGCCGAGUGUAAUUGACCCUUCGCCGAGUGCCCCAGGCACUCGGCAAAGUUACUGUUUCCGGUAGUGAAAGCUCAACAUCUUCAUCGAGUUGACAAGCUGCAAACAGAAGAUGCUUGGAUUUUACUAAAGAACCAGGUCAGUAAUAACUCACAUAUAACAUCACUUUUAGUCUUCUUCCUUUUCUUUUUCUUUUUCUCCCUUGGAGUUUCGCCAUCCUUUCUCUUUUCCGCUCUCCGCUGCAAUUUUUAUUGAAACGAGGCAGGAGAGUUGCCCAUUAUAUUAAGUAGUCCAUCAACCCGUGCUCCCGCACGGGCUAAUAUUUUUAGAAGCUAUUGUAUUUGAAAAUUAUUUAGAAAUUAAACUCCUAGCUAAUAAUCAAAAUUGAUUACCUACUACUCUCUUAUUUUUUUCAAUACGUCAACAUUAUACUUAUAUAGAUAUGUACCUAUCUUUAUCCAAUUGUGAUUGAUUUUUAAUUAAUAAUUACUCUAUGCACUUUUUCAUCCAUAUUCAUACUUUUUCCAUUUUGUAUCGCACCUCAAAUCCUCCAUACAUUAUGUUUAGCAUACAAAUCAAUAUUUUUCAUCGAUUCCUGACGUACAUGCAUAAAUGGUCUAAAUGGUGACACUUGUAUAUACUUUAACUUAGUAUUUUUAUAUUAAUAAUGACAUAAAUAGGUAAUUUAGAAUCAUAUAUUAGUUUAUUUUUGACAUUUAUGCAUGAUGCACAUGAAGAUAAUUAGAUUAAGAUUUAGAUGUUUAUUUUAGGUUAUUUUUAAUAACAACUUACGUGGGUAAUAUAGAUAAAAUUUUAGAAUGACUUUUUAAGUUAUACUUUAUAAUGAUAUGUAUUAGUAAAUUCGAUGAAGAUUAUAGGAUUACUUUAGAUUAUUUUUUAUAAUAGCUGAGCUCGGUAAUUUAGAUAUAGGUUUAGAGCUCAUUUUUUAAUAUUUUCACAAUGAUAGUGGUGGUUAACUUUUUAGAAAAUAUAAUAGAUUAAUGGCUAUGAUUAUUAGAGUUUAUAGGAUUGGUGUUUGAUAUUUUUGAUUUUUAUGAGAAUUUGUCUCUUUUUUUUCUAGCUUGUCUUAUGGGAACUAAUGCGGAGUCUCCAAUGAAAAAAAAUGGAACUACAUUGCUCAAAAAUAUUACCAUAAGCUACCUCUCGUUUGUUAAAUAUUCAAACACAAUAGAUAUAUACUUAUUAUCUUCAUCUAAUUGUCAUAGAUUUUAGUUAGUAAUUACUCUAUAAUAUUUUCAUCCACAUUUAUAAUCUUUAACUUUUCACUUUGCAUCGCAGGUAUGCGUUUGAAUUUGUUUAAUGAACCCUAAGUUUGUGAUACAAUUUUAACAUAGAAAUCUAUAUUCUCAUCACUUCCUCUAUAUCUUUAUAAAUGGUGACACAUCAUGUGUAUAGACCUUAAUUUUAUAUCAUAUACCAAUAGUGCAAGAUAUAGACGAUUUAGAAUCAUAUAUUGUUGUAUAUUUUAAUUAAGGUUAUUUGAUUCAAACGUAGGGUUAUCAUGUUACUUUUAAUGAUGGCAUGUGUGGGUAAUAUAGAUGCAAAUUUAACAGGUUACUUUAAGUUUUUAAGUAAUAGUGGUGGGCAAUUUGGUUGCAAAUUAGGGGGUUAUUUUAAAUAUUGUUUAUAAUGGCAUAAGUGAGUAAUUUUGAUGAAGAUUAGGGGGUUACUUUAGUUUAUUUUAUAUAAUGGCAGAGGUGGGUAAUUUAUAUAUAGAUUUAAGGGGUUACUUUAGGUUAUUUUCAUAAUGGUAUAGGUGGGUAAUUUUUUAGAAAACAUAAUAGAUUUAAUGGCUAUGAUGAUUUGAAUCUAUAGAUCAAUGGUCGGAUGUUUUGCUUUUUUGUGAGAAUUUCUAGAAUUUCUCUCUUUUUCCAGAGUGUCCACCUAGGAAUCCUAGGUGGCUUCACCUGAAGGCUUCAAAAGGAGCCUCCAAUUAGUAAUAGUAAGAUAAGAUUGAGAAGAGAAGACGGCCAAUGGCCGGAGAUUUACAGCGGGGUAUGUAAGUUCAAAAAGGUCACGCUCUACACAAUAAGCGUGCCAAAUUCUUAGCCCAGCUAGAACCCAUGUCUUAGCUUCGUCUCUGAUCUUUGUGGCAAUCCUAAACGGCGGUGCUUCAACUCUCUAAAAUAUGCGGGAGUUGCAUUCUAACCACACUUCCCAGCAAACUAAAAUGAUUAGAGAGUGCAGACCUUUGUGCGAGAUCCCUGUCGUUCUUGCCCUGUCCUCCCACCAUACUUGAAGUGACGCAUAAGGUUAAGGUUGAGGUUGCAGUUAUUCUUGUCACUGGCUUUGUAGAUGAGAUUAAAAUCUUCAAGCAGAAGCCAAGGAGUUCCAUUCAGGGGCUUGAUGUUUGUGAGUUCCUGGAGAAAAGCUUGUUUUUUGGUUUGUCUUGAGGGCCAUAUUUAGCCGGAAGUUAAUUGGUUGUUCGCGUAAGUUGGCUGUUGCAGUUAUGUGAAAUUCGCUAAUUGAAAUGUCGCUUAUGUCGACAUAGUUGUCAUUCCAUAGUAGUAGGAUGCCCCCUCUAGUGCCGCUCCGUCUUUCUGCAGGCUUGUAUUCAAAUUUGUUCAGAUGAUGCCUGCCCAGGUAGGCUGCCGUGAAUUGGUCGAUGUUACUUGGUCUCCUGCACGCAUGCUAUGUGGCAUAGCGUUGAUGCCAUUGUCUUGUGAGCCUUUAUCGUUCGCUCUUAACCUACCAAAACAUGCCUCAUGUGUAAUGAUCGAACAUUCUACUGACGUCGAGUGAAGUUCUAUUUGGUUGCUCUAGCGCACCCACUUUAUUUUUACCUACUAUGACAACCUCUGUUUAAGUUAUUGCUAAAUCCAAUGCAUUAUAACACAGCAUAGUUUGUAUACGCUUGAGUUUUUUUAAUUGUAGCGCCACUUUCUCUCUCACACACGCUACAAUUUUUCUAAUAGGUAGUUUUGAAUGAGAGUGAUGAAGCUGAUGUCGAUGAAUUGAGGAGUAUCGGGAUGGAAAUUGUUAAAAGAUGUGACCGCUUGCCGUUAGCAGUUAAGGUCCUUGGAGGACUCUUGCGCUGCAAAAGUAGAACAAGAGAUGCUUGGACGGAUGUUACUAGCCACAACACUUGGUCGACAACAGGAAUCGAUGAAGAUAUUAAUAAAGCGGUCUAUUUGAGUUAUGAAGACUUGCCCUCACACCUGAAGCAAUGUUUUGUGUAUUGUUCCCUAAUCCCUAAAGGUAAAUUAAUAAUGAGAGGAACAAUGGUCCGGCUUUGGAUUGCAGCAGGUCAUGUACACAACAAGGCACCAGAAAAGUUGGGGAAAGAAUACUACAAAGAAUUGGUUUCAAGAAAUCUUCUAGAACCAAACAAAAAAUACUAUGGUAGAUCAGCAUGCAGCAUGCACGAUGUUAUCCGAUCCUUCACUCAGUAUAUAAUUAAAGAUGAAGGGAUACUUGUUAGUGAUGGGCAGGAUGUCAAUAGAAGUCUUAGCACUGCAAAGCUUCGGCACCUAUCUAUCUCAAACAAGGCACUAGGGCAUGACACUUUGCAAAAACAAGCCUUGCUUAGAACAUUAAUGUUAUUCGGAAGCAGCACCAUUGUUGAGCUAAAGGAUCUGUUGAACAACUUUUCUUGCCUAAGAGUACUACAUCUAGUAGAUGUAGAUCUAGUUGAGCUGCCAGACUCCAUAUGCCACCUCAAACAUUUAAGAGACUUAAGUAUUUAUAACGCAAGCAUAUCCACAAUUCCUCAAGGCAUAGGAGAUCUAAAAUUUCUACAAUCUAUUGACCUUGAUGGGUGUGCAAAUAUUCAUCAACUUCCUAACAGCAUCCUAAAGCUGCGGAAGCUAAGGUCACUCAACUUGAGCGACACGGCAAUCACUUCAAUUCCUCGUGGCUUGGGAAAACUAGAAGAUUUGGUCCACAUAAGCGGGUUUCCAACACAUUAUUCAGAUGAGAGCACAUGUGGCUGGUGCAGCUUAGAAGAACUCAGACCUCUGUCGAAGCUCCAAAGCCUUGAAAUAAGUUGUCUGGAGAAAGCACCUUCCGGUUCUAUGGCUGCUAAAGCAAACCUUAGCAGUAAACAUCACCUGACACGGUUACAUUUGGUAUUUACCAGCAGGCUAGGAGACAACGGGAAGGUCAAAGGCAACAUUAGCGAGGAGGAACACAGGAGAACAGAGGAGGUGCUGGAUAAUCUGUGUCCUCCAACUUGCAUGGAAGAACUUGAUAUCAAAGGCUACUUUGCACGUGGGCUACCGCAGUGGAUGAGAACCAUGUCAGCCUUUGGGAGCUUAAGGCGGUUGCAGCUAGAUGACGACGCAUGCUGCACGCAUCUACCUAAUGGAUUGGGGCAGCUCCCCUUUCUUGAUUAUUUUUGGUUCAAUCGUGCUCCGUCUGUCCGGUGCGUUGGGCACGAUUUCCUCUUCCCCUCCUUGGGUGGUCAAGCUGAUGGCAAAGUAACACGGAACAAUAACAGGCAGCCUCAUCAUACUUUGCGAGGUGCUGGUGUUGCUUUUCCCAAGUUGAGAAAAGUGGGUUUUGUAGGCAUGCUGGGAUGGACGAAUUGGGAGUGGGAGCAGCACGUCCCAGCGAUGCCUGCACUAGAGGAGCUUACAAUCAUAAACUGCAAACUGCAACACCUUCCUGCAGGGCUUGCACAACAUGCAUGCCGGUUGAGAGAGUUGCGCCUGACACAUGUCCAGCACUUGGUCUCUGUUGAGAACUUCCCUUCACUAGUCAAGCUUUGGUCAUAUGACAACCCAAGGCUGGAGAGGAUCAGCAACAACCCGAGCUUGCAAUGGAUUGACAUUAGAAAUUGCCCAGCACUAGAACAAUUGGACGGUUUGCCAUCCCUCCGAAGCCUCGAGUGGAGGGAUUUGAGUGCUGAAGCACUCCCAGAAUACUUGCGAGAGGCAAAGCUAAAGAAAUUGCGUGUAGAUUGCAGCCGAAGAUUGCUCAAACUGAUAGCACUACAAGAUGAAUCCUCCGAAUGGGGAAAGAUCCAGCAUGUCCAGCAACUAGAGGCGUAUGGACACAAGAUAGAAGGAGAAGCGGAGGAAGCCGACCAAUCGCACGAAGAUGAGGAUGCCGAGUGGUACAUCUACUGUACCAAGGAGCCGUAUUCAUUCGACGCGUACCUGGGCAAGUCCACGGGUGAGUUCAUCUUCGACCUACUCGGUGGUUUUAUAACUGUAUGUGUGUGUACACUCAUGUAAAAAUGGAUUUCUAACUGUAUAUUCUCCUGCGCACAGGAUGAAGAUGAAGCAGAAGUAGACGAGGUGAACGAAGAGCAGAGUCCAGGAAUAGAAUAUAGUAAGAAUGCAAGGAACAGAGGAAGCUCUCAGGCUGUUACGACAGGACGAGCAUUCGAAUCCAUCCACCAAAUACUAGGUAUGAAUUGCCCAAAUACUGAUGGUCUUGUAGUUGUACACGCCAAAUUGGCUGUGACUAUUCUAACUGGAAAGCAUUGUCGUGUUAACGCAGGAGAAAGAAACCCAAGAAGGAGAAGAACACAUCGCAAUUGGGUGGUGGCAAUGUGGCAUACUGUCCCUCAAAUUCGUAAGUUGUAUAUGUUUGUGUGCGAAAAAUAUAAUACAGCAGUAAGGCGCGAGCGUCUCUCUAACCAGUUGUUGUGACGCUCAGGAAUGGAGCGCCAGCACGGGCGGCCUUGGACUCGUUGGAGCGAAUACGCGUCGGGGACGAGCGAUGGGCUGAGAGGUGAAGCACUGAACGUGCGCGCGAAGGGCAGCAGGGAAGGGAUUUGCACAUUUAGCUCCCAGGAUUUGCACUUCUUGUUGGCGUAUUUGUAGGCAGGUCUGCACUCCAUCUCUUCUUUUCGGUUGGUCUCUGCUAGCUCGUCAGACUUUCUACAGUGUUUUUGAAUGUUCGAUAGCAAAUGAGUGUAGGAAUUUGCAGACGUGCUCUAUGAUGCCGAGAUAACAAUUGCAUCCCCCCCUCAUGGAUCCUCUGGAAAGCUGAAGCUACUCUGCAAGACUGCAACGAUUGCAGCAACACGGACGUGCCUACUAAAAACAUGGUGCAAUAAAACUGCGAAAUGCUAAACAAGGUCAAGCCGGCAGCCAGGUAAACAACAUUCCAGGCAGCAGGUAUAUUCUGAGCCGUGUGAGAAUUAUCUGUCUGCAAUAGCUUUUUCAUGGGUAGCUAUCACUCGCAUGUGGAUCGUGUCUCUGGCUGAUCCGUUCAGCGUGGACCGGAGCCAACAACGGGGAUAAGAAGUCCCAACUAGUAGUAGUUGGCUGCCAAUGCGGUGGCCAAAAUUUGACCAAGCCAAGGCUAGUAAACAGCAAAUUUGGUACUGUAGGCGCGCUAUUAUAUAGCGGAAGCAACCAAAGUUAUAUAAAUAUUAAUUAUGGAUAAUACAAAGUUAUAUAAAUAUUAAUUAUGGAUAAUAAAGAGGGAGAACUAAUCAGGACGCUGACGAUGCUUCUAGUUGAUCCAUCAUGCUCCAAAAUCUUUCUGCAAGUCAGGAGCUGCAGGAUAUAAGUGCAGAACUGCCUGCCGAUUUCAAAAAAUUAAAAAAAAUUAAAGAAAAAAGAACUGACUGCCGAUGGCCACUCAAGGUAGUAAAAACUAUAGGAAUGCUAUUAGUAGUUCCAGUGUUCCACUGGUAGCUGCCAUUUGCGCUUUGCUGAUCCGUUAGGUGCGGAGCCAGCGACGAAGAGAAGAGUUGAAGCGUCUCUCUGGGGGUUAGUUGAGGCGUCUCUCUUUUGCACCUCAUCAAUAGAGACAAAUAAUUUGAGUUGCAUAUUUUUUGACUACUGACUGGACACCCAAUCGAGGUCCACAAAAAUAUGGAGUAGCGUACUCUUCUGGCACUCCUAUGCGUUGAACUUCUUCGCCUCGCCAUCUCAUCUGCCCAUCCGUGAUUUUCCAUCGACCGGCCAGGCCUUCCUUCUGUAUAAAGCGUCUCCUAAAUCACCGCAGAGUGUACACCCCCACAUAUCUGAAACCUAGUCAUCUUCCUUUUGCUCUCUGCUUUGCUACCCUGUUCCCCGACCAUGGCAGAGCUGCUGGACGAGUUCGCGUCCAAGCUUGUGGGCAUCCUGGCAGGCAUGGUGAAGGAGGAGGUGGAGAUGCUCCUCGGCGUGCCGGGUGAGGUCACCAAGCUCGAGACCACGCUCCGUGACCUGAGCGACAUCUUGGGUGAUGCGGAGAGGAAGCGCAUCCGUGACAAGGCUACGGAGGGUUGGGUGAGGGAGCUCAAGGACGUCAUGUACGACGCCGAUGACGUCCUUGACCUCUGCCAGCUCAUGGAGGGCGGAGAAGAUCCUCCCGCACCAACAUCUGCUCCAAAAACCACCUCAAGGUGCUGGGACAUCCCCAAGAUGUUCUUUUGCUUCCGCAACCCUGUUGUGGCACAUGAGAUUGGAACGAAGAUCCAAGCGAUCAACCAGCGACUGGAAGACCUGGCAACGAGGAGCUCCCGUUUCGGAUUCAUCACCCAAGCCAUCCAUUCCUCAGCUGAUUCAAUCAACAAAGCUUCCAAUUCUUUGUCGACCGACGAGACUGGAUCGGUUUUUAUCCGGUCUGAUGUUGUCGGCGAGAAGGUUGAGGAUGACACGAAGAAAAUUGUAGAUCUACUCAUCAAGAAGAUGGAUGCUCCCGUAGGAUCAAGGGCCAAUAAUGAUGUGGUUGUUGCUGUUGCUAUCACAGGCACAGGUGGGAUAGGCAAAACCACUCUUGCUCAGAUGGUCUUCGGUGAUAGUAGGGUGGAGGAAAAAUUCGAGGAAAGGAUCUGGUUGAGCGUUAACCGUGAGUUCAAUGAGAUCAACGUCCUACAAAGUCUUAUAACUUCUUUUGGUGCCAAACAUGAAGGCUGUGCGGGAAACAAGGACCUACUUCAGCGUGCCCUGAAGGAUACGAUCCGGCAAAAGAAGAAGUUUUUGUUGGUGAUGGAUGAUGUGUGGAGGGAAAAUGUGUGGUAUAAGCUGCUUAGAGAGCCGCUCAAUCAUGGUGCUUCUGGCAGUCGAGUCUUGGUGACCACAAGAAAUGAUGGAGUUGCUCAUGGGAUGAAAGCUCAACAUCUCCAUCCAGUUCACAAGCUAACAACGGAAGAUGCUUGGAUUUUGCUAAAGAACCAGGUCAGUAAUAACUUUUAUUUAUUACAGUAAUUAUUUAUGCAGUAAUUUGAAUUUACUGUAACAACUUUUAUCUCUUCUUAAUUACUUUCUCUCCCUUGGAGGAAUGCACGAUAGCCCACUGCUCGUUAUUUCUCUUGUCGCUCUUGUCCGAUCUGAUUACGCAAAGGACCAUGUAAUUUCACUACGAGCCUUUUAUCAUACUUUCAUAAGCUCUUGGCUUAGCAAAACUUGUCUCAUGGUUAUAUUUAGUUGAACAUAUCCUAUUGACGUUGAGGGAAGUUUUGUUUAGUGCAAGGAAUCGGAUACCGUAGCCUAAGAGGGGGAGAGGGUGAAUUAGGUAACUUAAAACCUUAAUCUAUAGCUUCCGCUACUUUUGCAUCAAAUUUAAUUAGAUCAUGUAUCAAGAUGUGUAACUAUGGUUGAUCUAGUGUGAAAUCCUCAUCCUAAAAUUAGUUUUGCAACCUAGAGGCAAUCCUAACAAGAUACUACACUAAGAAUGUAAAGGCACACAAGUUGCAAGUAUGAAAUGUGGAAAUGAAAAGGAGGGGAUGAGGGGAAGCAAACUCUUGACACGAUGAUUUAUCCCGUUGUAUCGGUAGGCACUAAACCACCGCUAGUCGACAUUGUUGAAGCACUCACACAAGAGUAUUGCUUUCCGGUCACCAAGUCUCUCUCGGGAUACUCCUUGCUUUGCCACGAAGGCUUGGCCGCUAAGGCUCACGUCAAAUUCUCAGGUCACCUUGAUACCAUCUCCACAAAGGAGCUUCUCCACGAAGGAAGGGGGUCUCCACGUUCCCUGCAUAUUGUCGUCGACGCCGAUCCAUGCCAAACCGGAGGGUCGAAGACUUACCGGCGAACUACCAAGGCUCCAAGAUAGCACACCUUGUACAGCUGUGGUUCACUCCUAGAACCGAUCACAAGGCAGGCACACCUUGCACUCUCUCUUCUCUAGGCCUAUCCUAGCACUAAAUAUUCUUAUAAGCUUGUGCUAAGCCUUUGAUUAAUCACUUAUGCACUUUUGGUGGCUUGGAUGUGUUCUUGAUGAGUCUUGAUCUCCAAUGGACUUCUGCAUACUCCAGCUUCAUCCAGCAACUCCAAUGGGUGAGUGGAGGGGGUAUAAAUAGCCCAAGAACUCAAAGAGCCGUUGCUCCAACGGCUAGUUAAAGUAUACCAUCGGAUGUUCCGAUGGUAUCAUUCGGGGUAGCAUUCGAACAUCUGGUUCUACCAGCCCUUGCCUCCCCGCGCUUAGAUUCUACUCAAGUUCCUCACCGACGCAAUCCAUCGAUUGAUCAAGUGGUCCCUCUAGCACCCAUCGGAUCAUCCGGUGCAGUAGCUUCCUAUGCCAAAACGUCUCUGUUAGUUUCUAAAAUAAAUAUGCUUCAUCCGAUGCCCCCACGACACAUAGCGUCGGAUCAUCCGGUGCCUCCUUCUUUCUUCUCUUUGCUCCGGCGAUUCAUCCGAUGGAUACAAAACUUAGGCCAUCGAAUCAUCCGAUGGUCCUACUUUGACUUGGUCUCCACAUGGCGUACCAAAAGCUCCGAUGCUUGCACCGAUGCUUUUUCAACUGGCCAUCGAAACAUCCGAUGGUCUCAAAAACCUGCUUCACGCUUGGCACCGACUGAUUCGGUGGGCACCUUCUUCUUGUCACCAGAUGAAUCGGUGACUAUAAUGAUUCCUGUUUUUCUUUGAUUCUUUGCUUAUCUUUGGUUGUGGUUGCUUCCUCAGGACCUAUAAUACCUUCAAGAUAUGUUUUCAAUGCUUUGUUAGUCCUGAUGACCGUGUUGUCACAUUAAUCACCAAAAUCACAAACAAAUAGCCUAUUCGGGGCCAUGUUUGCUACAUUUAGGCUAUUCCCAAUGGGGAUUUCAUAAGAGUUUCAUUUAAUGAUGCGACACACCAACAAUUUUGAUGAUAUGGCAUGCUAAUAAUCAUGAAGAGAGAGAGGGAAUGAGUUUAAUCCUGAUUAAACUAUGUAUACAUUGUUUCCAAGACUAUGAAACCUGAUGAAACUAGCAUUGGGGAUUAGAGAGUUUCAUUUCAUCUCAUAACAUCCAAUCACAUACCUCGCAAUUAAACGUUAUGUCCAGCCUAUGAAAUCGCGAAAUGAAACUCUCCAUUGGGAGAUCUUGUGUCAUACAUCCACUCAAACAUCUUUCGAUGACGUACCACUCUUGAAAAUUGUAAUUGAAAUUUCCCACUGGGAAUAGCCAUGGUUGCUCUAGAGUCUAGACUCUAUUUAAGUCACUUCAACUUUUUCCCUACACACAACCCCUGCAACAGUUAUGAUACAACAUAAAAUCCAUUGGGAGCUUUUCGAUUCUAGCACCAUUUCCUCUCUCAAACUUGCUGCAUUUUUUUUCCAAUACUAGGUAGUUUCGAAUGAGAGUGAUGAAGCCGAUGUCGAUGAAUUGAAGAGUAUCGGGAUGGAAAUUGUUGAAAGAUGUGACUGCUUGCCGUUAGCAGUUAAGGUCCUUGGAGGACUCUUGCGUCACAAAAGGAGAACAAGGGAUGCCUGGACGGAUGUUAGUAGCCACGAUAUUUGGUCGACAAUAGGAAGCGAUGAAGAUAUUAAUAAAGCGGUCUAUUUGAGUUAUGAAGAUUUGCCUUCACACUUGAAGCAAUGUUUUGUGUAUUGUUCGCUAAUCCCUAAAGAUCACUUGAUAUCGAGUGGAGUAAUAGUCAAGCUUUGGAUUGCAGCAGGUCAUGUACACAACAAGAUGAGCUGUAAGGUACCAGAAAAGUUGGGGAAAGAAUACUACAACGAAUUGGUUUCAAGAAAUCUUCUAGAACCAGACAAAAGUUACUAUAGUACAGUAGUAUGCAGGAUGCACGAUGUUGUCCGUUCCUUCGCUCAGUAUAUAAUUAAAGAUGAAGGGAUACUUAUUAGUGAUGGGCAGGAUGUUAAUAGAACUCUUAGCACUGCAAAGCUUCGGCACCUAUCUAUCUCAAACACGACAGUAGGGCAUGACACUUUGCAAAAACAAGCCUUGCUUAGAACAUUAAUUUUAUUCGGAAGCAGUACCACUGUUGAGCUAAAGGAUCUGUUGAACAACCUUUCUUGCCUGAGAGUACUACAUCUAGUAAAGGUAGAUUUAGUCGAGCUGCCAGACUCCAUAUGCCACCUCAAACAUUUAAGAUACUUGUGUAUUUGUAACGCAAGCAUAUCCAGAAUUCCUCAAGGCAUAGGAGAUCUAAAAUUUCUACAAUCUAUUGACCUUGAUGGGUGUGCAAAUAUUCAUCAACUUCCUAACAGCAUCCUAAAGCUGCGGAAGCUAAGGUCACUCAACUUGAGCGACACGGCAAUCACUUCAAUUCCUCGUGGCUUGGGAAAACUAGAAGAUUUGGUCACCAUAAGGGGGUUUCCAACACAUUAUUCAGAUGAGAGCACAGGUGGCUGGUGCAGCAUAGAAGAACUCAGACCUCUGUCGAAGCUCCAAAGCCUUGAAAUAAUAUGUCUGGAGAAGGCACCUUCCGGUUCUAUGGCUGCUAAAGCAAACCUUAGCAGUAAACAUCACCUGACAUGGCUAGAUUUGGUAUUUACCAGCAGGCUAGGAGACAACGGGGUGGUCGAAGGCAACAUUAGCGAGGAGGAACACAGGAGAACAGAGGAGGUGCUGGAUAAUCUGUGUCCUCCAACUUGCAUGGAAGAACUUGAUAUAAAAGGCUACUUUGCACGUGGGCUACCGCAGUGGAUGAGAACCAUGUCAGCCUUUGGGAGCUUAAGGCGGUUGGUGCUACAUGACUACGCAUGCUGCCCGCAUCUACCUAAUGGAUUGGGGCAGCUCCCCUUUCUUGAUUAUUUUUGGGUCAAACGUGCUCCGUCUGUCCGGUGCGUUGGGCACGAUUUCCUCUUCCCCUCCUUGGGUGGUCAAGCUGAUGGCAAAGUAACACGGAACAAUAACAGGCAGCCUCAUCAUACUUCGCGUGGUGCUGGUGUUGCUUUUCCCAAGCUGUCAGAAGUGGGUUUUGUAGGCAUGCUGGGAUGGACGAAUUGGGAGUGGGAGCAGCACGUCCCAGCGAUGCCUACACUAGAGGAGCUUACAAUCAGAAACUGCAAACUGCAACACCUUCCUGCAGGGCUUGCAUACCAUGCAUGCCGGUUGAGAGAGUUGGACCUGAGAAAUAUCCAGCUCUUGGUCUGUGUGGAGAACUUCCCUUCACUAGUCAAGCUUUGGUCAUAUGACAACCCAAGGCUGGAGAGGAUCAGCAACAACCCAAGCUUGCAAUGGAUUGACAUUAGCAAUUGCCGAGCACUAGAGGAAUUGGACGGUUUGCCAUCCCUCCUAAGCCUUGAGUGGUGGAAUUUGAGUGCUGAAGCACUCCCAGAAUACUUGCGAGAGGCAAAGCUAAAGAAAUUGCGUGUAGAUUGCAGCCGAAGAUUGCUCAAACUGAUAGCACUACAAGAUGAAUCCUCCGAAUGGGGAAAGAUCCAGCAUGUCCAGCAACUAAAGGUGUAUGGAUGCAAGAUAGAAGGAGAAGCGGAGGAAGCCGACCAAUCGCACGAAGAUGAGGAUGCCGAGUGGUACAUCUACUGUACCAAGGAGCCGUAUUCAUUCGACGCAUACCUGGGCAAGUCCACGGGUGAGUUCAUCUUCGACCUACUCGGUGGUUUUAUAACUGUAUGUGUGUACACUCAUGUAAAAAUGGAUUUCUAACUGUAUAUUCACCUGCGCACAGGAUGAAGAUGAAGCAGAAGUAGACGAGGUGAACGAAGAGCAGAGUCCAGGAAUAGAACAUAGUAAGAAUGCAAGGAACAGAGGAAGCUCUCAGGCUGUUACGACAGGAGGAGCAUUCGAAUCCAUCCACCAAAUACUAGGUAUGAAUUGCCCAAAUACUAAUGGUCUUGUAGUUGUACACGCCAAAUUGGCUGUGACUAUUCUAACUGGAAAGCAUUGUCGUGUUAACGCAGGAGAAGAACACAUCGCAAUUGGCAUACUGUCCCUCAAAUUCGUAAGUUGUAUAUGUUUGUGUGCGAAAAAUAUAAUACAUCAGUAAGGCGCGAGCGUCUCUCUAACCAGUUGUUGUGACGCUCAGGAAGGGAGCGCCAGCACGGGCGGCCUUGGACUCGUUGGAGCGAAUACGCGUCGGGGACGAGCGAUGGGCUGAGAGCUGAAGCACUGAACGUGCGCGCGAAGGGCAGCAGGGAAGGGAUUUGCACAUUUAGCUCCCAGGAUUUGCACUUCUUGUUGGCGUAUUUGUAGGCAGGUCUGCACUCCAUCUCUUCUUUUUGGUUGGUCUGUGCUAGCUCGUCAGACUUUCUACAGUGUUUUUGAAUGUUCGAUAACAAAUGAGUGUAGGAAUUUGCAGACGUGCUCUAUGAUGCCGAGAUAACAAUUGCAUCCCCCCCUCAUGGAUCCUCUGGAAAGCUGAAGCUACUCUGCAAGACUGCAACGAUUGCAGCAACACGGACGUGCCUACUAAAAACAUGGUGCAAUAAAACUGCGAAAUGCUAAACAAGGUCAAGCCGGCAGCCAGGUGAGCAACAUUCCAGGCAGCAGGCAUAUUCUGAGCCGUUCAGCGUGGACCGGAGCCAACAACGGGGAUAAGAAGUCCCAACUAGUAGUAGUUGGCAGCCAAUGCGGUGGCCAAAAUUUGACCAAGCCAAGGCUAGUAAACAGCAAAUUUUGUAGCAAACCAAAAUUAAAAUGCGACGUAACCAAAGCGCUGGCGUAACCAUGUCGACAUUAGACCUGAUUUGUUAAUACGUGCUGAGAUGGCGAGGCAUAUCUUGUAACCAGCGACGAAGAGAAGAGUUCAAGCUGCAUUGGAUACAUGUGCUCCUGCCUCCUGGGGGUUAGUUGAGGCGUCUCUCUUUUGCACCUCAUCAAUAGAGACAAAUAAUUUGAGUUGCAUAUUUUUUGACUACUGACUGGACACCCAAUCGAGGUCCACAAAAAUAUGGAGUAGCGUACUCUUCUGGCCCUCCUAUGCGUUGAACUUCUUCGCCUCACCAUCUCAUCUGCCCAUCCGUGAUUUUCCAUCGACCGGCCAGGCCUUCCUUCUGUAUAAAGCGUCUCCUAAAUCACCGCAGAGUGUACACCCACACAUAUCUGAAAUCUAGUCAUCUUCCUUAGUCAUCUUCCUUUUGCUCUCUGCUUUGCUACCCUGUUCCCCGACCAUGGCAGAGCUGCUGGACGAGUUCGCGUCCAAGCUUGUGGGCAUCCUGGCAGGCAUGGUGAAGGAGGAGGUGGAGAUGCUCCUCGGCGUGCCGGGUGAGGUCACCAAGCUCGAGACCACGCUCCGCGACCUGAGCCACAUCUUGGGUGAUGCGGAGAGGAAGCGCAUCCGUGACAAGGCUACGGAGGGUUGGGUGAGGGAGCUCAAGGACGUCAUGUACGACGCCGAUGACGUCCUUGACCUCUGCCAGCUCAUGGAAGGCGGAGAAGAUCCUCCCGCACCAACAUCUGCUCCGAAAACCACCUCAAGGUGCUGGGACAUCCCCAAGAUGUUUUUUUGCUUCCGCAACCCUGUUGCGGCACAUGAGAUUGGAACGAAGAUCCAAGCGAUCAACCAGCGACUGGAAGACCUGGCAAAGAGGAGCUCCCGUUUCGGAUUCAUCACCCAAGCCAUCCAUUCCUCAGCUGAUUCAAUCAACGAAGCUUGGAAUUCUUUGUCCGACGAGACUGGAUCGGUUUUUAUCCGGUCUGAUGUUGUCGGCGAGAAGAUUGAGGAUGACACGAAGAAAAUUGUUGAUCUACUCAUCAAGAAGGUGGAUGCUCCUGUAGGAUCAAGGGCCAAUAGUGAUGUGGUUGUUGCUGUUGCUAUCACAGGCACAGGUGGGAUAGGCAAAACCACUCUUGCUAAGAUGGUCUUCGGUGAUAGUAGGGUGGAGGAAAACUUCAAGGAAAGGAUCUGGUUGAGCGUUAACCGUGAGUUCAAUGAGAUCAAUGUCCUACAAAGUCUUAUAGCUUCUUUUGGUGCCAAACAUGAAGGCUGUGCGGGAAACAAGGACCUACUUCAGCGUGCCCUGAAGGAUACAAUCCGGCAAAAGAAGAAGUUUUUGUUGGUGAUGGAUGAUGUGUGGAGCGAAAAUGUGUGGUAUAAGCUGCUUAGAGAGCCGCUCAAUCAUGGUGCUUCUGGCAGUCGAGUCUUGGUGACCACAAGAAAUGAUGGAGUUGCUCAUGGGAUGAAAGCUCAACAUCUCCAUCGAGUUGACAAGCUAACAACGGAAGAUGCUUGGAUUUUGCUAAAGAACCAGGUCAGUAAUAACUUUUAUUUAUUACAGUAAUUAUUUAUGCAGUAAUUUGAAUUUACAGUAACAACUUUUAUCUCUUCUUAAUUACUUUCUCUCCCUUGGAGUAAUGCACGAUAGCCCAUUGCUCAAUAUUUCUCUUGUCGCUCUUUUCCGAUCUGAUUACGCAAAGGACCAUGUAAUUUCACUACGAGCCUUUUAUCAUACUUUCAAAGCUCUUCGCUUAGCAAAACAUGUCUCAUGGUUAUAUUUAGUUGAACAUAUCCUAUUGACGUUGAGGGAUGUUUUGUUUAGGGCAACGAAUCGGGUAUCGUAGCCUAAGAGGGGGAGGGGGUGAUUUAGGCAACUUAAAAUCUUAACCUAUGGCUUCUGCUACUUUUGCAUCAAACAUAAACAAGAUCAUGCUGUCAAGAUGUGCAAUUAUGGUUGAUCUAGUGUGAACUCUUCAUCCUAAAAUAAGUUUUGCAACCUAGAGGCAUCCUAGCAAGAUACUACACUAAGAAAGUAAAGGCACACAAGUUGUAAGUAUGAAAUGCGGAAAUGUAAAGGAGGGGAUGAGGGGAAGCAAACUCUUGACACAAGAGUAUUGCUUUCCGGUCACCAAGUCUCUCCCUGGACACUCCUUGAUUUGCCACAAAGGCUCGGCUACUAAGGCUCACGCCAAAUUCACAGGCUACCUUGAUACCAUCUCCACAAAGGAGCUUCUCCACGAAAGAAGGGGGUCUCCACGUUCCCUGCACAUUGUCGUCGACGCCGCUCCACACCAAGCCGGAGGGUCAAAGACUUACCGGCGAACCACCAAGGCUCCAAGGUUUCAGCACACCUUGUACAGCUGUGGUUCACUCCUAGAAUCGAUCACAAGGCAAGCACACCUUGCAUUCUCUCUUCUCUAGGCCUAUCCUAGCACUAAACAUUCUUCUAAGCUUGCGCUAAACCUUUGAUUAAUCACUUAUGCACUUUUGGUGGUUUGGAUGUGUUCUUGACGAGUCUUGAUCUCCAAUGGAAUUCUGCACACUCCAGCUUCAUCCAACAACUCCAAAUGGGUGAGUGGCGGGGGGUAUAAAUAGCCCAAGAACUCAAAGAGCCGUUGCUCCAACGGCUAGUUAAAGUAUACCAUCGGAUGUUCCGAUGGUAUCAUUUGGGGUAGCAUCGGAACAUCCGGUUCUACCAGCCAUUGCCUCCCCGCGCUCAGAUUCUGCUCAAGUUCCUCACUGACGUAAUCCAUCGAUUGAUCCAGUGGUCCCUCUAGCACCCAUCGGAUCAUCCGGUGCAGUAGCUUCCUAUGCCAAAACGUCUUUGUUAGUUUCUAAAAUAAAUAUGCUUCGUCCGAUGCCCCUGCGACACAUAGCGUCGGAUCAUCCAGUGCCUCCUUCUUUCUUCUCUUUGCUCCGGCGAUUCAUCCGAUGGGUACAAAACUUAGGCCAUCGGAUCAUCUGAUGGUCCUGCUUUGACUUGGUCUCCACAUGGCGAACCAAAAGCUCUGAUGCUUGCACCGACACUUUUUCAACUGGCCAUCAAAGCAUCCGAUGGUCUCAAAAAUCUUCUUCACGCUUGUCACCAACUGAUUCGGUGGGCACCUUCUUCUUGUCACCGGAUGAAUCAGUGGCUAUAACAAUUCUUGUUUUUCUUUGAUUUCUUUGAUUCUUUGCUUGUCUUUGGUUGUGGUUGCUUCCUUAGGACCUAUAAUACCUUCAAGAUAUGUUCUCAAUGCUUUGUUAGUCCUAAUGACCAUGUUGUCACAUUAAUCACCGAAAUCACAAACAAAUGGCCUAUUCGGAGCCAUGUUUGCUACAUUUAGGCUAUCCCCAAUGAGGAUUUCAUAAGAGUUUCUUUUAAUGAUGUGACACAUCAACAAUUUUGAUGAUAUGACAUGCUAAUAAUCAUGAAGAGAGAGAGGGAAGGAGUUUCAUCCUGAUUAAACUGUGUAUACAUUGUUUCCAAGACUAUGAAACCUGAUGAAACUAGCAUUAGGGAUUAGAUAGUUUUAUUUCAUCUCAUAACAUCCAAUCACAUACCUCGCAAUUAAACGUUAUGUCCAGCCUAUAAAAUCGUGAAAUGAAACUCUCCAUUGGGAGAUCUUGUGUCAUACAUCCACUCAAACAUCUUUUGAUGACAUACCACUCCUGAAAACCGUAAUAUGAAAUUCCCCACUGGGAAUAGCUAUGGUUGCUCUAGAGUCUAGACUCUAUUGAAGUCACUUCAACUUUUUCCCAACACACAACCCCUGCACAAGUUAUGAUACAACAUAAAAUCCAUUGGGAGCUUUUCGAUUCUAACACCAUUUCCUCUCUCAAACUUGCUGCAUUUUUUCCAAUACUAGGUAGUUUUGAAUGAGAGUGAUGAUGUCGAUGAAUUGAAGAGUAUCGGGAUGGAAAUUGUUAAAAGAUGUGACUGCUUGCCAUUAGCAGUUAAGGUCCUUGGAGGACUCUUGCGCCGCAAAAGUAGAACAAGAGAUGCCUGGACGGAUGUUAGUAGCCACGGCACUUGGUCGACAAUAGGAAUCCAUGAAGAUAUUAAUAAAGCGGUCUAUUUGAGUUAUGAAGACUUGCCUUCACACUUGAAGCAAUGUUUUGUGUAUUGUUCGCUAAUCCCUCAAGAUUACUUGAUUUCAAGUCGAGUAAUAGUCCAGAUUUGGAUUGCAGCAGGUCAUGUACACAACAAGAUGAGCUGUAAGGCACCAGAAACGUUGGGGGAAGAAUACUACAAAGAAUUGGUUUCAAGAAAUCUUCUAGAACCAGAGAAAGGUUACUAUAGAAUAUCAGCAUGGAACAUGCACGACGUUGUCCGUUCCUUCGCUCAGUAUAUAAUUAAAGAUGAAGGGAUACUUAUUAGUGAUGGGCAGGAUGUCAAUAGAACUCUUAGCACUGCAAAGCUUCGGCACCUAUCUAUCUCAAACAAGGCAGUAAGGCAUGACACUUUGCAAACACAAGCCUUGCUUAGAACAUUAAUGUUAUUCGAAGGCAGCACCACUGUUGAGCUAAAGGAUAUGUUGAACAACCUUUCUUGCCUAAGAGUACUACAUCUGAUAGAUGUAGAUCUAGUUGAGCUGCCAGACUCCAUAUGCCACCUCAAACAUUUAAGAUCCUUGUAUCUUUCUGGCACAAGCAUAUCCACAAUUCCUCAAGGCAUAGGAGAUCUAAAAUUUCUACAAUCUAUUGACCUUGAUGGGUGUGCAAAUAUUCAUCAACUUCCUAACAGCAUCCUAAAGCUGCGGAAGCUAAGGUCACUCACCUUGAGCGACACGGCAAUCACUUCAGUUCCUCGUGGCUUGGGAAAACUAGAAGAUUUGGUCGACAUAAGGGGGUUUCCAACACAU
rnacentral:lncRNA from 1 species